rnacentral:lncRNA from 1 species
AGAUUUUCAAAUAAAACUCAGAGAUUCCUUGUAUGACUCUCUCUAGUCUCUCUUUUGUGGUAUUUCUGGAUCCUUACCAAGGCAUUAAUGGUGUAUGCCUUCUCUCAAAGUAUGUGGUAUUUUUGGUAUGAGGCAUAGUGGCAUUGCCUUCUCUCUCACCCUACUCUAAUAAGGUUUUGAUAUCUGGAGCUCAUAGGUGGGAGACAGCUAAUACAUACUUACAAGACAUUUAUUGCAUAGUCAAACCAUGGAUCCAGAAGAACAAGCCAAUAAGUCAAAUCAAGAUGUGUAUGUGUGGCGAAUGAAUGGUGUAUGGUGAUGAUGGUGAUAACAAUUGUGAAAGUCUAAUUCUACUUGUGCUCUUUUGAGGGGAUACAUACCUUUCUUGCUCUUUUCAAACUUUUUGAGGAGAAUGAGAUGCUCUAUAUUUUCUUUUUCUUUUCUCUCAGGUGGGUAUCUUGUACCACUAAUUCUACUGUCGGACACUUGUCCAUUUUUACCUCUCGUCUCACUUUUUCUUUUCUUCGAGGUUCCAGGCACUUGCCCCUUUUUAUUUCCUCGGAUAUUCUCUCUCUUUUUUAGAGCACUCAUCUCUUGAAAUAAUAUAGCAUGUGGUAGUAACCAAGAUAACUCGAGCAUUUAUUUCACAGGGGAAAAACAAAAAUGUUUUUGUCUAUUCUCUCCCGUAUUAGGAGUAGAAUAUUUUUGAGUCGUUCUGGAGAUGGAAAUGGAUGGAUAUAUGUGGAUGCGUACUUCCGGAGUAGAAGCAGCAUGUAUGAGUGAAUGUGCAAGUGAAUCUUGAUUUUAACAACAUGACAAGCUCCUAAGGGUCUACACAGCUUGACCACACUCAAUGCUCAUAAGCAGUAAAAAGUAAAUGUGUGGCUCAAAGUCUAGCAAGCAUGUAUAUAUGGCUGUGGUAGGAAUUUAAACUCUUAUCAUACAGGAACUCAUCAUGUGAUAUUUUAAAGAUUUUCAAAGAUAAAAUUCUCCAGAAUUCUAUCAUCUCUAGGAACAGAUAAACAGUAGCUCAACCUUUCCAUAUCGUAUCUGUUAACGACUUAGACUUUAGAUCAAGUACUCUUCCCACAAGUUCAGGUUUUGAGCAAAUCUUAAUUAAUAAUAGUCAUGGCUAAACUUGAGAGAGAUUUCAAUUUUGAGAAUUAGUCAUGGCAGAGCAACUAUUCAUCAUUUCCAUGUGAGAGCUUAUCAUGAGGGUUCAUAGCAAACUUUAUUUAUUUAUUUAGCAAACUACGCAAAGAUAUAUAUAUAAGCACAAAAUCUUUAUUCGGGUUUUUAUGAUCAUUCAUCUUUUUAUUAUUUGAGUAAAGUAUAAACGUGAGUAGAACACUUAGCUGGAUAAAUGAGGGUGCUCUCCCCCAAGCUGGAUUUUGACGUAAUUUCUUCUGACGUAGCUAGCAGGUGGUGGGGGUGUAUUUGAAUGUCGGCAGCACCCUGACAGCGAUUAGGAUGUCCUCCGUCUGCUAGUCUUCUUUGAUCCUUGAAUUCUGUGGAGCUCAAAUAGACAACAAAGCUUUGUGGAACUAGUUACGUUUUAGCAUAAAUAUCUGCCUUUAUCAUGUCGAGCCUCCUCUAAUAAAUAUUACUCUCUUUAGUAGGAUCAUAAAUUUAUUUUUAUAUUUUCAUUUUUAUAGGACAGGAAUAUAUUUAUUUUGUUUUUACGCCACCAUAGUGAAUGUACUUAUAGGUUUUAUGCCAUGAGCAUACUCACAUGGGGCUCACUAUUUUUAACAUUUUUAUUUUCUUUUCGAGAUGAUAUGAACUUGAUUAACUAAGCAAACUAUUUUAAAUAAUUGAAAGGAAAAAGAUAACUACCAAGUUUACCUCUUGGCAAGACGUUCGGUGUGUUUAAGUCCUCCGAACGGGACUCUCCAUCUUCUCAGUUGUCCUGGGAUUCGUUGGAUGGCGUAGUCGGUGGUUCCGGCGGCGCCUGCUCUUUGUGUAUAACUAUCUUCUCUCUCCACACGUGACUCGGUGCUAUGGUCUCCUCAGGACAGUUCUGUUCAAGCUGUAUGUCUUCAGACCUUACAACUUCUCCUUCAUAGUCUACCCAUCCGUCCUUGAUGAAUUGCCUCCUCUGGUUGCGGUUGCGUCGUCUUCUUCUUGUCCUGACCUGUUUAGAGUCUUCAACUAUAUAGUUAAGGUCAGUAAAAUAGCAGCGUACCUUCUCAGAGAGGAAGUGCAUGUGGACUUCUCCGGUUCCAAUGUAGAUGAUUGCUUUAACGGUGCUGAGGAACGGCCUCCUAAGGAUGAUGGGUGGAAUGUACUCGUCUUCUCCCAUGUCCAUAACCUUCAACCUUUCGGAAUGUCUGAUCUGCCAUCCGGUGUCGCAAAGCGUCUUCUGGAAGUUGUAUCCAUUAAUGGAGCACUAGAUGCUUGGCAUACCCGGGUCAUCCUUUUUGGUCACGAACGGUGACUUAAGUCGAUGAUUCUUGACCUCCUUGAACUACAGUGACCAUCUUAGCUGACUCGAUCCUUAUUUGCUUGUUCCUGUUCCUCCUGUUGGUCCUCUUCCUUGGUUCAUGUCGGGAUUGCUCUGAGAUUUGUGUAAUCUUGUUCUUGAAGGAAACGUCUCCUUCCUCCCCUUGAUGUAGAAAUGGAUCUUGGCAGCACUAGCGUAGAUGACAGCUCCCGAGGUAUUCAGGAAUGGCCUCCCUAGGAUGACGGGUGCCCUCUCAUCACAACCGGUCUCUAUCACCACGAAGUCUGCUGGGCUGUACAAGGUACCAACUCGGAUGCAGAGGUUCUUCAAUAUUCCCUUUGGGAAACUUAGCGUACGAUCUGCAAGUUGCAAACACAAGGUUGUUUCUAGUAAAGGAUGUGUAAAGAAUUUUUCAUAGAGUACCCUGAGCAUAAUGUUGACGCUGGAGCCUAAGUCGCAGAGUGCUUCUAGGAAGUCCACCAUGCCGAUGGAGAUCGGGAUGACGGUGUGUCCUGGAUCGCCUCUCUUGACCGGCAGAAGGUCAGUAAUUACUUCCACAACGGGGUUACUCCAGUAGUUACGUCCUCAAACAUCUAAGGGCAGUGAUUGCAUAAGUGUCUAGUAUCUCCACACUCCUCACAAGUCAUGUGAGAGUCAUAGACGUGCAUGACUUCCUUCUUAUCUCCAGUGUGUUUGUGCUCGUAGAUCUAGGUUCUUCACUUGGUGGAGUCUAGGAGUUAUAAAACUCCUUCAUAUGAUGCUCGAAGUGUACCUGCUCAUAGAGACAAGGCAGAGAUCAAGUGCAUGGGCUCUGUUGGUGGAAAACACCAACAGAACCAAAAGUGUAUUUGUUCUCUCUAACCUUAAGCAUAGUUAGCAAGACAAAGUUGAUGGAUGAUAAGAUCAUGAGUGUAGCAUUUAAAACAUUUGUCAGAUCAGAUCACUCAACCUAAUGGAAAGAUAAUCUAUCUAUAUUUAUGUUGUUUUUUUAUAAAAUAUAUCUUCCAAAGAUUGAGUGUGCAACAUUUUAGCUCAUAAGAUUAGGAGUGUGGGAUCACAAAAGUGGAAGGACUAAACAUGUUGAAUCGACUGGGUUGGUGAAUCUAGAGUUGUAAAUCAUACAUGUUUGUCUCUUUUAUUCAUGUGAACGGAAGAACCAAGGAGAAGGUUAUAAAAGUGAUAGUCAAGUACCUUAAGAUGUUACCUUACUUGAAGAGUGAUGGUACAGUAUCACCUUGUGGAAGCUUUCCUUUCUUUGCAGUUGUGCAUCGUGUUUGUGGCACCCUCCAUGGAUGCUUGCAGAUCGGACACUAAGUUUCCCAAAGGGAAUAUUGAAGAACCUCUGUGUCCGAGUUGGUACCUUGUACGCCCCAGCAGACUUAUUGGUAAUAGAGACUAGCACUGAUGAGAGGGCACCCAUCAUCCAAGGGAGGACAUUACUGAACACCUCAGGAGCUGUCAUCUAUGCUAGUGCUGCCAAGAUCAGUUUCCACAUCAAGGGGAGGAAGGAGACGUUUUCCUUCAAGAACAAGACUACACAAAUCUUAGAGCAAUCCCGACAUGAACCAAGGAAGAGGACCAACAGGAGGAACAGGAACAAGAAAAUAUGGACCAAGUCAGCUAAGAUGGUCACUGCAGUUCAAGGAGGUCAAGACUGUCGACUUAAGUCACCGUUCCUGACAAAAAAAGGAUGACCCAGCUCCAGAUGGCAGAUCAGACAUUCCGAAAAAUUGAAGGUUAUUGACAUGGGAGAAGACGGGUACAAUCCACCCAUCAUCCUUGGGAGACCGUUAAAGCAAUCAUCAACAUUAGAACCAGAGAAGUCGACAUGCACUUCCCCUCUGAGAAGGUACGCCGCUGUUUUUAUGACCCUAACUAUAUAGUUGAAGACUCCAAGCAGGUCAGGACAAGAAGAAGACGACGCAACAGCAACCAAAGAAGGAAAAUCAUCAUGGACGGAUGGGUGGACUACGAAGGAGAAGUGCACCGAGUCAGGUGUGGAGAAAGAAGAUAGUUAUACACGAAGACGAGGCGCCACCGGAACCACCGACUAUGCCAUCCAGUGAAUCCCAGGACGAUUGAGGAAACGGAGAUGUCACGGAACCGACCAAAUUAUAAGAGUUCAAGUGUAGAAACGAUCGACAAGCAAUCAAGUUUCCAAACUUGAGCCCAUAUAAUCCCGGUAGUCAAUUGAAAUCACGAAGGACUUCAAACCAACUUGCAACAAACCAAGAUCGUAAUAAUUCAGCACAACAUAGCGAAUGUUACAUAGUCAUUCAUUGCCGUCGAAGCGGCACCACAUCAGAGUUAUUAAGUUAUUACAACACAUGUUCGAAGUAGCGGAAGCAAAAUAAUUACACACACUUUUUAAAGUUCAUUUUAUAAGUUCUUGUUCAGCCAGGGUCUCAUGCCAUCCAUCCAAAAGCAGCAGAUACGAAGAAGUUAGAGAACCAUGCCCAACGGUUAGUCCUCAUCCCCAGCGGGAUGGAGACAGGUCUUGCAGAAGCCAUCAUAAAAGAUAUCAUCUGCAAUAGGUGGGAAUAAACCCUGAGUAUGAGAUUGUACUCACCUAGACUUACCUGUCUAGUAAAACAUAAAAGACACCAAGGAUCAUGCAAGGCUAAAAUUUAAGUAGAGCUGGUUGACUCGACAUUUGCCAAAAGCUUAAAUUAUACUAAAUUGUUGUGAGAGCAUCAUAUUUAUUCAUCAUCAGUCUACCACUAGAUUAGCACCUGUACUAAAACACUUCACUUGAUUAUUACAAGCAAUAAUAACCAUAUCAAGUUCAUCAUGUAUUCUUCCUUGCUAUCAUCAUUAUUAUGAACCAAGUUCUUUAGUGAAUGCUACGUUUGCCGCUUCUCUGUCAAGUUCUCACUAACCGGGACAGACGGCGAUUCGAAACGAAUUCCUAUCCAGCUGGAGGGGUAUUCCUAUCACUCACCCAAGCAUCCCCCGUCGGAGAGCCAACGGGUCACCUUUGAUACGACUCAGGAAUCGCGGUUCCGAUUAGCGCUGCACUCCCAGGGCUACCACUCUGCCAGGGAGGUCAAGAAUUUUAACUCACCUGCCUUUAGACAUACGCCAAUGGUCCCCCGCACACCGCACUUCCUCCGGUAGUGCGCACUUUAUACUUAUCGACCUUCCGGCCUGAGUCAUAUUACUCGGCUUCGCGGUCGGAACGAGUUAUCCGGCCAACUAAGUGUUAGGCAUGCGUUCAACAUGACAAGAGGACGUACAACGGUCGGUCCUUAGCUGCCACAGACGGAGUUACUACGACCUUGCAAAACUUCGUCCGGCUUAAGUCAAUUUAAUCAGGUUCCACCCACGAUAGCACAUUUAGUCCAUCGUGAUCCGACAUAACCCUAUAUCGCGCAGGUGACAGGAAAUCACCCGACUUCUACCGAUUAAAGUAUGGCUAAGCUGCUACUCGAUCCUAUCUCUAUAACCAGGGUAUGGUAAGUUAUCUGGACAAGGAUGGAGUAAAAUGCAGCAAAGGUUUCAUCACAACUCCUAUACUUAAUGCAUCAAUAGAUAUAACAUAUUAAGUAAACUUUCGAAAGUAAAGGGAGACUUAGAAUGCUCCGGGGCUUGCCUUUCACGAAUGAAGCUGGCUCGUGAUUUGGGCACUCAACUUCCUCUUCGGGCUCCUCGAGUCCGACUUGCUGGACCUCCACCUCCGGGUUGCCCUCCUGGUUUUCGGGGUUCACUUGGAGCUCGUAGGAAGCGGUCGCGUCUGAUGCACCUAUUGCAUGCUCAACGAAUAAGAAGAUGUGCAUAAUAAAGGAUGAAUGCUUGACACAUAAAUAAACUCACUGGACACUCAUUUACGGAGUAAACAUUUAAGUUAACUUACAAGAAAACCACAUGAAUUAAUCGAACUAGACAAGUCAACUUAUAAACAGCAAGCAACACAAAACAGAACAGCUCAGUAAACAGACCAUAACUAUUGCUACAAAGAUCCAACAUAAUUAAGUGAUGACAUUCUGGAAAGCUCAUGAAAUUAUCUACAAAUCAUCUUUGAACAUCACAGCAAGAUUUAUAGGUUAACCAAGUCAUUUAAACAAAGUUCCAGGUUCUGUCCCAGAAAAACAGAGAGCACCUAUUUCUGGAACCCAACUUGGAACAGCCAUAACUUUCAAACUACUGGACCAAUUGAUCCCAAAUUUAAACCACAGCUAGUUCAUAAAGUUUAAAACAACUUUGAUUUAGACAAGUCUCCCAGAAAACCAAGUUAUCAACAAGUAAAGGUUGUAUUACUCCCUUGCUGUUCAGAACAGCCUUUAACCCUUUAAUUAAUUGUUUGGUGACAUAGCCAAAACAUAAAUAGUGCCAAUCAAAUGGCCUAUAAGCACAAGCACACCAUAAGAUACCCCGAACAUCAUAUGAAAACCUCCAAACAUUUACUUAACAAGGCAUUUAUUAAUUUAAUUCUAGAAAGGAGCAUAAUUACAAGACACUAGUAAAAGUGCUCAGAAAAAUCUACAACAAUUACAGGAGCACAAGCAUAGCAUUGUGACAACACCAUAAAAAUUUCAGAGCAAUUGCACAUGCCAAAUUAAAGAUAUGCAUUUAACAUGUGACAAGGUGUUUAUUUCAUAAAUUCAGAAACAUGGCUUAUUUCGUGUCAAACAACAGAUUUCAGAUUAUUUACAUGUCACUAAUACCAUAAACAAGUUUGCCACCAAAGUAGAGUACCAUCAUAAGCACCAAUUAUUUGCUAUGAUUUUAAUAAGAAAACAAGCCAUAUCUCAAUCAUAAUUUACAUAACACAGAUAUAUUACUCCAAAAAUCAUGAAAUAAUUAUCAUAGCUUUCUAGUACCACACAGAAGCUACCAUAAACUUUUCAUAGCAAAACAAUCAGUAUAACAAGAGAUAAGAAUUUACACAUGAAUAACAAGAUUAAAUCCUAAUAAAUAUUUUUCCUAGAAAACAUGGUUCAUUUUAUAUUUUUAUUAAAAACUAGCCAUCUCAAGGAAUACCACAAAAUUGAUUUCACAAUUUUUGGAUCACCAGAACCAGAGAUCUGAUUUUUGCAAAAACAGCUCAAACCCUAAAUCAAACAAAGGAGAAAGAGAGGCUGACAGAGGGACCCCACGAGUCAACCAACCCCACAUGUCAGCGACCCGAGAGCAGAGGCACGACUUGACCGCCGGAGAUCUCAUCGACGGCGAGGUCUCAGCGAUGGCCAAGGGCACCAUCGUGCUCCCCACUCCAAUCCGCAUCGAGCGGUACCCGAAACCCUAACUCUACUAGACCCUUGGUACCUUGCCCUCGCGAAAGGCGGCACGGCGGUGGUGUGCGGCCGACCGCCGGCGUCUCUGGCUGGAGACAGAGCGGAAGAGAAUGCGGACGAGCAUCAGCAAGACCUAGCGGAGCUUUUGGGACAAGGAUGAGGAAGAAUGGUGGACUACAGAGCCCUGGCCACGAUGCCGGUGACCAUAGCGGAGCUCCGGCGAGGUAUCUCGCGACGGAGAAGGCAAUGCGGGCUUACCGAGGCUCGACAGCUGCAGCCAACUCGACGACGGGGUCGCGGGGAAGCUGGCGGAGCGAUGGAUGGAGUCGCUCGGCCGGAGACACGGAGACACGCGCGCGCGAGCUCGCCAAAGCAAUGGCGGCGAUGCGGAGAAGAAGGCGCACGCAAGAGAGAGAGAGAGCUGGGAGUGGAAUGGCGCUGUCCACGCGACCGGGAGCGCCGUGGCGAGCUGUAGGACGCGCUGGGGACUGACGAGCGGGACCAACCGCGAUGUACGGACGCCACGGGUCCAGACACGCGGCGUCACCGGCGAGCUCCCCUGUCUGACGGCGACCUCAUUCAGUUCCCAAACCCGACUGAAACCCAAUUUUGCACGGUGAUUAUCUCCUAAUCCACUCGAUGAUUUUGCUAGCUAAGUGCUCUAUGCUAGAGAGCUACAUGAGUACUCCAACAUUGCUUACAAGAUCAGAGUCUAAUAGAUGAACAACACACCCUCGAGCAAACUGCUGCGAUUCAAGACUUAGAAAAUUUUCUAAGUGUUGGAAACAGCCCCAAAUCUGCCUUGUGGGUCAUUUUUGAGCUAGAUGUGAUCAUUUUCAUGAGAUGGCCAUAAAACAACUUUUGUUCCUUAUAAAAUUUGCUACAACUUUGAUGUAGAUAGUUUUGACAUGCAAACAUUUUAUGAAACACUUUUUAAAAGCCUAAGCAAAAGAGCUUUCUAGGGCCUAUUUGUGUAAGUAUGACCUAAGUGAUUAUUUUGGAGAAGUGAUCAACAUGAACAUUGUUCCCAAGGUUGAGUUAAGCAUAGAUAAACUAUUUAACAAGGCAUAGCACACAAACACAAGCAUGGUUCACACAUACAUAAGCAUAGGAAAACUAUUUAAACAAUUUAAAUCACAUUUUUGCAUAGAAAGGUAUGACUCAAGGUAGAUGAUGAUCAUGAUAUGCUUGAGUAGAUGAUGAUGCUUAUGUUAUGCAUGUGAUUUGUGCAACCAUAACACUGGGGUGUUACAGCCCUCUCCCCUUGUUGAUGCAAAACUGAUCUGCAAACACAAAGGGCUAAUACCCGAUUCAAACGUUAAGGCGUGCGAGCCGAUUUGACCUUACUAUCGGCAAAGGUGAUAACUCGAAUACUUUAGUCCUGACAACAGCGAUGCGCCCGGAUGUCACGGCUAAGAGGUACUCACGCGGAACUCGAGAACACGCCGAGCUUAAGUCGACGAAUUCCUAAGAACUCGUAGUAAAAGAAAAAAAAAUAUGACGAAGUCGUCGAAAAGUAGAUGCUGAAAUAUAUGAGUAAAACGUGUGUUUGAUUGAUUGAUAGAUAUCUCAUUACAAAGCCCUAGGGUUCAUAUUUAUACCCUGCUUAAAGAGCUACAACUAAACACGACUAGAAUUCGAAUUCCAAAUUACACGGAAUCCGUAUACAAAACGACUUAAAUAAAUAAGGAAAUAACAAAGCUAUCUCCCGUGACGAACUAAAACUCUUCCAUAAACCGAUCAGCAGUUUCCGGACCCCUCCUCCGUAUCAUCGGCAGACUCCUUGUCAUAGUCAUCGGCAGACUCCCCUAUCGGCAUAAACACAUUACUGUCUGCAGACUUAGUCACAUCCGACCAUUCCUUCAUCGGCAACCAUCCUCAUCGGCAAUUCAUCUUGUAAAUAGCAUACUGCCACUUUAUCCUGCCAUCCUGGACACGUGCCCAAAAAACGGUGUCAACACAUGCCCCCCAAUUUCGGAGUAUAAAACUAUUAAUGCUCUGAAAUUCUCUGCAGUAAUGAUGCCUUCCUCCCGCAAUUAAUGCUCCUAAUCUGGUAACCGACAACCUCAAUCUGAACAACUCUGAUCCUAUUCUCCCACAGAUUCCUUGAAAUCUCCAACUUCCUAAAUGGGCAUUUCUCUCUCAACCGUACAUCUGCAAUAGUACCGUUACAAAGAUCUGCCGAUAUACUGACCAGGACGUUCGUUCAAACGGCUACCUCCCCUUUAUUCGCCCAUCGGCAAUAUGACCGUUAUAGAACUCUGCCGAUGGACCGACCAGGAGAUCUCGCACAGUAAAAUAUCCUCAGAUAAUGACCGCUUCCCGUCAAAUCAUCUGCGCAAUCCCUUGAUUACCGUGCGAACAGCUACCAUAUCUACCUGAGUACCCUCGGAUUUCUCGGAGGCGGCAAAGAGAUAAGUCAGAUUUGCCCCUGCCCAUUUUGUCCUAUAAAUAGUUCCUUCUUGGGUACUCCUUCCCCAUCACAUCAUUCCACCACCCAACUUUACUUUUCCAGCGGCGGCGCCAUCCGAAACUCCCAAGACCUCCGACAAGCACUCCUCCUCAUCAACCCCGGUGCCUUCAAACACUCUCUUCGUAGCAAGAUGGCCAUUGGCUUCGUCGUUCCUGAGGUCAGAGCUCCAUCUCGUCUCCUGUAUAUUUUUUCUCGUAUCCCUGUUCAUCCGUAAUUCAUUUUACUGAGUAUCUUCCUUUUCCUCUUUCUUUUGUGUUUCCUUUACACCUAAAAUCACUAGGAACUGUCCAACAAAAUUGUCAUCCCCACCGAUCAAACACACCUUCAAUGCCUCGGCCCUCUAGGGGACCCAGAUCCAACCGACCUUAUCAACGCAGAAACCAACAGGAUCCCCUUUAGAGCUGAAAUUUUUUCUUUAGAUCUGUGGAAAGACACCUUCCGCUCUUGGCCCAGCCAUACCAUAGGGUGGAAAGACUGGUUCUUAAGGGUCAGCAAUUCUUAUGAAGUCCAGUGGGGUGAAAGGAAGCUAGCCCAAUGCAUCAGGCUAUCUAUCGACGAUAUGCACAGGAACGAAUCGCUGUUGAUAGCUGCGUCUCAUUUUUGGUCAGAUACCCUUAAUGCCUUUGUCUUUGGCCACGGCCCUGUUUCUCCCACUCUUGCCGAUGUAGCUAUGCUCACUGGUCUGGACGUGUCUUCUGCCGAUAGCACCCACUUCUUUGAUGUCGCUCCUAGUGCCAAAGUGGAGACUCACACUAUCGGCGGUUGGUCAGGGUAUAUUCAGAAGUACCGUGGGAAGGGGCCUAUCACCAUAAAGGAACAAACCACCUUUCUAAACAUGUGGCUGGAUAAGUUUGUAUUCUGUGGUCGAUCGGCAGGACCGACUUCUGUCUAUCUAUCGGCAGCAGAGAGACUGGCUAACGGUGGCCAAUUUCCUCUCGGCCGAUACUUGCUUGGCGCUGCUUACCAUCUUCUCCAUCAGGUAGCCCAGAAACUCUUGCUUGGUCAGUCUAUCGGUAACAUGGGAGGCCCCUGGUGGUUUAUUAACAUGUGGCUCAAUCUGCAUUUGCAUAAGCGCCUUGACUUCAACUUGUUCACACAACAUUUCCCAAGAGAUAUAGCCGAAAAUCAUGUGUUGGGCGAAGAGGAAUCGGCAACACGUGCCCCCCUGAACUUUGGCGAAGCUGCCAUAGUUCUACCUAGUUCAGGGAGUAAUCUGGAUCAGAUCGGCCGAUUCUUCCACACUCUGUAUGAGGGAUUGGCCAGAGAUGAACGACCAUGGUUGGCUUAUGAUGACCCAGACAGUAUGCUCCCUCUAACCUUCAAUCCAUUUGAUGAAGCUCUUGACAGGGAUAAUGAGGUGAUGAUGGCAAUUGUGACUCCCAGAGUCAUACUAGUGAAUUUCUUUGGUAGCACAAAAACCUCUCCCCAAACCUAUGAAUUUUACAAUCCAUCGGCAUUAGCUCGUCAGCUAGCUUUCGGCCAGUUGCCGAUUGCACUUCCUUAUGCCGAUGUGAUAAAACCCAGAGAACCCAUCACCAACUUUCUUGAGUGGAUUCGAGUAGCGCAACUACCACCAAAUGCCGAUACAGAUAUAGAUCUGUCAGAAUGGGUUCCAGCUGCCUUUAUUACUCAGGCAUACAAGCUAUGGUGGGCAGAAUGGAAAGAGCAUCUAUUCUGCAGAUCGGCACUCUCAUACCGCGGCAUGAUCGACCCCGAAUACGAAGUCCCUGACGACACCGUAAGUAUUUCAAACUGAUGUUUCAUUUUUUCAACACUAUUUCCAUCGGUAGUUUACUCUUGUAUUCCUUUUGCAGGUUGACAACAUCCCCCCAUCGGUCAGCAAGAGUGGCAAACCGAUCGACUUGUUUCCAUCAGGCCCGAUCUCCUCAAUCGGCCACAAUGCUCCCACUCUGGCUUCCGUCGUGCAUCGGGGUGUGCGCCUCAGGAAAGUCACCACCAAGAGAACUCAGACAUCACCUACGGUAGCUGCUUCCGCUCUGGCGCAGGCUUUCAAGGCAAUUUGUCAAAUCUUUUUCUUUUACACUGACCAUUUUUAUAUCGGCUAUAUCUGUGCUUAUAAAUCCCUUUUCGUUGUUGCAGCAAACCGGUGCAUCGGCAAAAGCCAAGCGUCAAAGUGCCGAUGCCCCCCAGUCUAGCCAGCCAUAGAGAAAGGGCACCAAAGGUGCUAAGGCUGGAACAAAGCGCCAGAAAGUGGCAACUCCCCCUCCUCCUCCGGUAUCUCCAAUUCCGGUGGAGUCUUCUCCUUCUUCUCCAGAAGUCCAGACACAGCAAGCACCGUCUCCCCAACCAAUGCACGAAGCACCACAGAUGGAAGAACUCCAGCAAGAAGAACCUCAGUUAGAAGCACCCCAAUCAGAAGAUGUAUCGGCCGACGUAGGCGAUCAAACUACCGAUCCAGCAGGCUCAAUCAUACUAUCGGUAGUUUCCUCACUCCAGACAAGUAUUAUUCCUCCUCAAGGUAACGUACUCUCCUCAAAAUUACUGUCGAUGAGCUUUUUCUUUUCGAUCUUGUAACCUUUUCUGUUAACUUUCAGCUGACAUUGUUCCAUCGGCAACACUUGCCGGUCAACCUGUAGCUCCAUUGGUAUCCUUGGCCGAUCAACCUGCAGUUUCAUCAGCACUUCCCAGUCAAAGGCAAGAGAUCGCCUUGAAGCAAGUAAGUCAUCCAAUCUUCCACCAAUAUCGUCUGCCGAAGCUUUGACCAUAAAAAUGACUUAUUUCAUCCUUACUUUCAGGAACAAGAUUCUCCCGACAGCUUAUUCUCCUUCGCCAUCGAUAUCUCCGAAGAAGAAGGUGAGGAAGCAAGCUCCUCUCGGGCAGUUGGGACUGUAUCGGCAGAAACCAGGGCUAAGCUGGAAGAGCUAUCGGCCAUACUCCACCAAGACACAGCUCAACUGGUCAACGAUUCUGACCCAGCCAAGGCCCUAUUCAAGACCCUUAGAGGCCAAAUUCCUGCCGACGCUGAAGAAACCCUCUUUCAGGCUGCACACCUAGAAAGCCGCCAGCUGCAGUACCAGAGAGCCACUCAACGCCUUGCCGAUAGAGCUGCUCAAGUCUAGCUUUCUGAGGAGAUGAUGAAAGAAAAACUCUUAGCCGAUGAGAAGCACAAGAACAUCGGCACUUUAAAGUCCUCAGGUGACGCACUGAAGCAGAAAGUCUCUGAUCUAUCGGCAAAAAGGGAAGCCCUGCUGGCCGAACUCAAGCAAGUAGAGGAUGCUCUGUCUCAGGCCCAGCAAGAAGAGAGCCAACUGCCGGAGACCAUCAAGCACCUCGAGCAAGAACGAAAUGCCCACGGUCGCAAAGCGCUGCAGUUGAAGAAGAAGCUGAAGCCGAUAGAAGGUUCUGCCGAUGAUGAUACCAAAGAGAUAGAAACAGCCAAUCAGAUCCGGCUGCGCGCCAUAUCGGCAAUCCAAGCGCUGCUGAACAUCUGAAGCUCUCAUCGGCAACACACCUUUGCUCUUCUGCAUUUCAGCUUUCUUAAUGUCUUAGUCUAGAUGAUAGGACUGUUAUCGGCAUCUUUUGAAACAUUAAGUCCAUCCCCAGAUACACUUUAAUCCAACCGAUAGGAGUGUUAUCGGCAUUUAAACUUUUAUGUGUUCCUUCACAAAAUCAAUCAUAUUGGCCGAGGUGACCUUCUUCAAAGGAAUAGCUUCAACCCAUUUAGUGAAAUAAUCAGUUGCAACCAAAAUAAACUUAUGCCCCUUACUAGGUGGUGGAUAAAUCUGGCCGAUCAGAUCGAUAGCCCAUCCCCGGAACGGCCAAGGCUUUAUGAUAGGAUUCAUAGCCGACGCGGGUGCUCUUUGAAUGUUACCAAACUUUUGACAACCUUGACACCCCUUGAAAUAUUUAAAGCAAUCCUCAAGUAUGGUCGGCCAAAAAUAUCCGUUCCUUCGAAUCAUCCACUUCAUCUUAAAAGCUGACUGAUGUGCCCCACACACUCCUUCAUGGAUUUCUCCCAUCAAACUUCUAGCUUCAUCAUCACCUAAGCAUUGGAGAAGAAUUUUAACUCACCUGCCUUUGGACAUACGCCAAUGGUCCCCCGCACACCGCACUUCCUCCGGUAGUGCGCACUUUAUACUUAUCGACCUUCCGGCCUGAGUCAUAUUACUCGGCUUCGCGGUCGGAACGAGUUAUCCGGCCAACUAAGUGUUAGGCAUGCGUUCAACAUGACAAGAGGACGUACAACGGUCGGUCCUUAGCUGCCACAGACGGAGUUACUACGACCUUGCAAAACUCCGUCCGGCUUAAGUCAAAUUAAUCAGGUUCCACCCGCGAUAGCACAUAUAGUCCAUCGUGAUCCGACAUAACCCUAUAUCGCGCAGGUGACAGGAAAUCACCCGACUUCUACCGAUUAAAGCAUGGCUAAGCUGCUACUCGAUCCUAUCUCUAUAACCAGGGUAUGGUAAGUUAUCUGGACAAGGAUGGAGUAAAAUGCAGCAAAGGUUUCAUCACAACUCCUAUACUUAAUGCAUCAAUAGAUAUAACAUAUUAAGUAAACUUUCGAAAGUAAAGGGAGACUUAGAAUGCUCCGGGGCUUGCCUUUCACGAAUGAAGCUGGCUCGUGAUUUGGGCACUCAACGACCUGCUGGACCUCCACCUCCGGGUUGCCCUCCUGGUUUUCGGGGUUCACUUGGAGCUCGUAGGAAGCGGUCGCGUCUGAUGCACCUAUUGCAUGCUCAACGAAUAAGAAGAUGUGCAUAAUAAAGGAUGAAUGCUUGACACAUAAAUAAACUCACUGGGCACUCAUUUACGGAGUAAACUUCUAAGUUAACUUACAAGAAAACCACAUGAAUUAAUCGAACUAGACAAGUCAACUUAUAAACAGCAAGCAACACAAAACAGAACAGCUCAGUAAACAGACCAUAACUAUUGCUACAAAGAUCCAACAAAUUUAAGUGAUGACAUUCUGGAAAGCUCAUGAAAUUAUCUACAAAUCAUCUUUGAACAUCACAGCAAGAUUUAUAGGUUAACCAAGUCAUUUAAACAAAGUUCCAGGUUCUGUCCCAGAAAAAUAGAGAGCACCUAUUUCUGGAACCCAACUUGGAACAGCCAUAACUUUCAAACUACUGGACAAAUUGAUCCCAAAUUUAAACCACAGCUAGUUCAUAAAGUUUACAACAACUUUGAUUUAGACAAGCCUCCCAGAAAACCAAGUUAUCAACAAGUAAAGGUUGUAUUACUCUCUUGCUGUUCAGAACAGCAUUUAACCCUUUAAUUAAUUGUUUGGUGACAUAGCCAAAACAUAAAUAGUGCUAAUCAAAUGGCCUAUGAGCACAAGCACACCAUAAGAUAACCCGAACAUCAUAUGAAAACCUCCAAACAUUUACUAAACAAGGCAUUUAUUAAUUUAAUUCUAGAAAGGAGCAUAAUUACAAGACACUAGUAAAAGUGCUCAGAAAAAUCUACAACAAUUACAGGAGCACAAGCAUAGCAUUGUGACAACACCAUAAAAAUUUUAGAGCAAUUGCACAUGCCAAAUUAAAGAUAUGCAUUUAACAUGUGACAAGGUGUUUAUUUCAUAAAUUCAGAAACAUGGCUUAUUUCGUGUCAAACAACAGAUUUCAGAUUAUUUACAUGUUACUAAUACCAUCAACAAGUUUGCCACCAAAGUAGAGUACCAUCAUAAGCACCAAUUAUUUGCUAUGAUUUUAAUAAGAAAACAAGCCAUAUCUCAAUCAUAAUUUACAUAACACAGAUAUAUUACUCCAAAAAUCAUGAAAUAAUUAUCAUAGCUUUCUAGUACCACACAUAGGCUACCAUAAAAUUUUCAUAGCAAAACAAUCAGUAUAACAAGAGAUAAGAAUUUACACAUGAAUAACAAGAUUAAAUCCUAAUAAAUAUUUUUCCUAGAAAACAUGGUUCAUUUUAUAUUUUUAUUAAAAACUAGCCAUCUCAAGGAAUACCACAAAAUUGAUUUCACAAUUUUUGGAUCACCAGAACCAGAGAUCUGAUUUUUGCAAAAACAGCUCAAAUCCUAAAUCAAAAAAAGGAGAAAGAGAGGCUGACAGAGGGACCCCACGAGUCAACCAACCCCACAUGUCAGCGACCCCAGAGCAGAGGAGCGACUUGACCGCCGGAGAUCUCGUCGACGGUGAGGUCUCAGCGAUGGCCAAGGGCACCAUCGUGCUCCCCACUCCAUUCCGCAUCGAGCGGUACCCGAAAUCCUAACUCUACUGGACCCUAGGUACCAUGCCCUCGCGAAAGGCGGCACGGCGGUGGUGUGCGGCCGACCGCCGGCGUCUCUGGCCGGAGACAGAGCGGAAGAGAAUGCGAACGAGUAUCAGCAAGACCUAGCGGAGCUUUUGGGACAAGAAUGAGGAAGAGUGGUGGACUACAGAGCCCUGGCCACGACGCCGGUGACCAUGGCGGAGCACCGGCGAGGUAAGCUCGCGAUAGAGAAGGCAAUGCGAGCUUACCGAGGCUCGGCAGCUGCAGCCAACUCGACGACGGGGUCACGGGGAAGCUGGCGGAGCGAUGGACGGAGUCGCUUGGCCAGAGACAUGGAGACACGUGUGCGUGAGCUCGCCGAAGCAACGGCGGCGACGCGGAGAAGAAGGCGCACGCGAGAGAGAGAGCUGGGAGUGGAAUGGCGCUGUCCACGCGACCGGGAGCGCCGUGGCGAGCUGUAGGACGCGCUGGGGACUGACGAGCGGGACCAACGGCGACGUACGGACGCCACGGGUCCAGACACGCGGCGUCACCGGCGAGCUCCCCUGUCUGACGGCGACCUCAUUCUGUUCCCAAACCCGACUAAAACCCGAUUUUGCACGGUGAUUAUCUCCUAAUCCACUUGAUGAUUUUGCUGGCUAAGUGCUCUAUGCUGGAGAGCUACAUGAGUACUCCAACAUUGCUUACAAGAUCAGAGUCUAAUUCGGGCUAGAAUUCAAACUGGAAAGAUGAACAACACACCCUCGAGCAAACUGCUGCGAUUCAAGACUUAGAAAAUUUUCUAAGUGUUGGAAACAGUCCCAAAUCUGCCUUGUGGGUCACUUUUGAGCUAGAUGUGAUCAUUUUCAUGAGAUGGCCAUAAAACAACUUUUGUUCCUUAUAAAAUUUGCUACAACUUUGCUUUAGAAAGUUUUGACAUGCAAAUAAUUUAUGAAACACUUUUUAAAAGCCUAAGCAAAAGAGCUUUCUAGGGCCUAUUUGUGUAAGUAUGACUUAAGUGAUUAUUUUGGAGAAGUGAUCAACAUGAACAUUGUUCCCAAGGUUGAGUUAAGCAUAGAUAAACUAUUUAACAAGGCAUAGCACACAAACACAAGCAUGGUUCACACAUACAUAAGCAUAGGAAGACUAUUUAAACAAUUUAAAUCACAUUUUUGCAUAGAAAGGUAUGACUCAAGGUAGAUGAUGAUCAUGAUAUGCUUGAGUAGAUGAUGAUGCUUAUGUUAUGCAUGUGAUUUAUACAACCAUAACACUGGGGUGUUACAAGAGAGUCCGUUUGGAGGACUUAAAACACCGAACGCCUUGCCAAGAGGUAAACUUGGUAGUUAUCUUUUUCAUUUCAAAUAUUUAAAAUAGUUUGCUUAGUUAAUCAGGUUCAUAUCAUCUUGAAAAGAAAAUAAAAAUGUUAAAAAUUGUAAGCCCCAUGUGAGUAUGCUCAUGGCAUAAAACCCAUAACUGUGGUGGCAUAAAAAUGAAAUAAAUAUAUUCCUAUCCUAUAAAAAUAAAAUUAUAAAAAUAAAUGAUCCUAGUAAAGAGAGUAACAUUUAUUGAGGAGCCUCAAUAUGAUAAAGGCUAGAUAUUUAUGCUAACACUUAACCAGUUCCACAAAGCUUUGUUGUCUAUUUGAGCUCCAUAGAAUUCAAGGUCAAAGAAGACUAGGAGACGGAGGACAACCUAAUUGCUGUCAGGGUGCUACUGACAUUCAAAUACACCUCCACCACCUGCUAGCUACAACAGAAGAAAUUACAUCAAAAUCUAGCUUGGGGGAGAGCACCCCCAUUUAUCCAGCUAAGUGUUCUACUCACGUUUAUACUUUACUCAAAUAAUAAAAAGAUGCAUGAUCAUAAAAACCCAAAUAAAGAUUUUGUGCUUAUAUAUAUCUUUGCUUAGUUUGCUAAAUAAAUAAAUAAAUAAGUUUGCUAUGAACCCUCAUGAUAAGCUCUCACAUGGAAAUGAUGAAUUGUUGCUCUGCUAUGACUAGUUCUCAAAAUUGAAAUCUCUCUCAAGUUUAGACAUAACUGUUAUAAUUUAAAGCUUGCUCUAAACCUGAACUUGUGGGAAGAGAACUUGAUCUGAAGGUUGAGCUGCUGUUUAUCUGUUCCUAGAGAUGCUAGAAAACUGGAGAAUUUUAAAAUUUUUAAAAUAACACAUGAUGAGUUCCUGUAUGAUGAGAGUUUAAAUUCCUACCACAGCCAAAUAUACAUGUUUGCUAGACUUUGAGCCACACAUUUACUUUUUACUGCCUAUGAGCAUUGAGUGUGGUCAAGCUGUGUAGACCCUUAGGAGUUUGUCAAGUGGUUAAAUCAAGAUUCACUUGCACGUUCACUCACACAUGUUGCUUCUACUCCGGAAGUACGCAUCCACAUAUAUCCACCCAUUUCCCUCUCCAGAACCACCCAAAAAUAUUCUACUUCUAAUCCGGGAGAGAAUAGCCAAAAACAUUUAUGUUUUCCCCUGUGAAAUAAAUGCUCAAGUUAUCUUGGUUACUACCACUUGCUACAUUAUUUCAAGAGAUGAGUGCUCUAAAAAAGAGAGGAAAAAAGAUACGAGGAAAUAAAAAGGGACAAGUGCCCGGAACCUCGAAAGAAAAGAAAAAGUGAGACGAGAGGUAAAAAUGGACAAGUGUUCGAUAGUAGAAUUAGGGGUACAAGAUACCCACCUGAGAGGAAAAAGAAAAUACAGAGCAUCUCAUUCUCCCCAAAAGUUUCAAAAGAGCAAGGAAGGUAUGUAUCCCCUCAAAAGAGCAAAAGUAGAAUUAGACUUUCACCAUUGUUAUCACCAUCAUCACCAUACACCAUUCAUUUGCCACACAUGCACAUCUUGAUUUGACUUAUUGACUUGUUUCUCUGGAUCCAUGGUUUGACUAUGCAAUAAAUGUCUUGUAAGUAUGUAUUAGUUGUCUCCCACCUAUGAGCUCCAGAUAUCAAAACCUUAUUAGAGUAGGGUGAGAGAGAAGGCAUACACCAUUACUGCCUUAGUAAGGAUCCAGAAAUACCACAAAAGAGAGGGUAGAGAGAAUCAUACAAGGAAUCUCUGAGUUUUAUUUGAAAAUCUGCAAAAAUACCAGAGCUAUAGUUAAUAGAAGAACAAGAGACAUGGUGCUUGACUAGACCAUUCUAUCUUUUAACUGCUCAAGACACAAUAUUUUCUUAGUCGUCGUGGGAUUCGUUGGAUGGCAUAGUCAGUGGUUCCGGCAGCGCCUGGUCUUCAUGUAUAACUAUCUUCUCUCUUCACAACUGACUCGGUGCUACGGUCUCCUCAGGACAGUUCUGUUCAGGUUGUAUGUCUUCAGACCUUACAACUUCUCCUUCAUAGUCUGCCCAUCCGUCCUUGAUGAUUUGCCUCCUCUGGUUGCGGUUGCGUCGUCUUCUUCUUGUGCUGACCUUGUCAGAGGAGAAGUGCACGUGGACUUCUCCGGUUCCAGUGUAGAUGAUUGCUUUAACGGUGCUGAAGAACGGUCUCCUAAGGAUGAUGGGUGGAUCGUACUCGUCUUCUCCCAUGUCAAUAACAUUCAACCUUUCGGAAUGUCUGAUCUGCCAUCUGGAGCUGAAUUUAUGUCGGUUUUAGGGGCAUGGUUCCGAACAGGAGCUGGGUCAUCCUUUUUGGUCGAGAACGGUGACUUAAGUUGACUAUCUUGACCUCCUUGAAUUGCAGUGACUAUCUUAGCUAACUCGAUCUACAUUUGCUUGUUCCUGUUCCUCCUGUUGGUCCUCCUCCUUGGUUUAUGUUUGGAUUGCUCUGAGAUUUGUGUAAUCUUGUUCUUGAAGGAAAACGUCUCCUUCCUCCCUUUGAUGUAGAAACUGAUCUUGGCAGCACUAGCAUGGAUGAUAGCUCCCGAGGUGUUCCGGAAUGGCCUCCCUAAGAUGACGGGUGCCCUCUCAUCAGAACCGGUCUCUAUCACCACGAAGUCUGCUGGGGCGUACAAGGUACCAACUCGGACACAGAGGUUCUUCAAUAUUCCCUUUGGGAAACUUAGUGUACGAUCUGCAAGCUGCAAACACAUGGCUGUUUCUAAUAAAGGAUGUGUAAAGAAUUUUUCAUAGAGUACCCUGGGCAUAAUGUUGACGCUGGAGCCAAAGUCGCAGAGUGCUUCUAGGAAGUCCACCAUGCCGAUGGAGAUCGGGAUGACGGUGCGUCCUGGAUCACCUCUCUUGACCGGCAGAAGGUCAGUAAUUACUUCCACAAUGGGGUUACUCCGCUAGUUAUGUUCUCAAGCAUCUCAAGGCAGUGAUUGCCUGAGUGUCCAGUAUCUCCAGUGUGUUUGUGCUCAUAGAUCUAGGUUCUUCACUUGGUGGAGUCUGGGAGUUGUAAAACUCCUUCAUAUUUUGCUCAAAGUGUACCUAGUCAUAGAGACAGGGCAGAGAUCAAGUGCAUGGGCCCUGUUGGUGGAAAACACCAACAGAACCAAAAGUAUAUUUGUUCUCUCUAACCUAAGCAUAGUGAGCAAGACAAAGUUGAUGGAUAAUAAGAUCAUGAGUGUAACAUUUAAAACAUUUGUCAGAUUAGAUCGCUCAACCUAAUGGAAAGAUAAUCUAUCUAUACCUAUGUUUUUAUAUAUAUCUUCCAAAGAUUGAGUGUGCAACAUUUUAGUUCAUAUGAUUAGGAGUGUGGGAUCACAAAGGUGGAAGGACUAAACAUAUUGAAUCGACUGGGUUGGUUAAUCUAGAGUUGUAAAUCAUACAUGUUUGUCUCUUUUAUUCAUGUGAAUGCCAGAACCAAGGAGAAGCUUAUAGAAGUGAUAAUCAAGUACCUUAAGAUGUUACCUUACUUGAAGAAUGAUGGUACAGUAUCACCUUGUGGAAGCUUUCCUUUCUUAGCGGUUGUGCAUCGUGUUUGUGGCACCCUCCAUGGAUCAUCUCUUGUGAGCUACGUCUUCCUUGUGUAAAUUGUUAAACUUCACGUGUCUCUCUCUUUGUCUCCAAUGUGAGUUUAUCUCAGGAGUUCCCAGGUCGAUAUUGAAAGUUUUCCUACAGGGGUUAGUCCAACAAAAUAUCCAAUAUCUACUAUAGCAUACUAUCGGCUCAAAAAUCAACCUAGACACCACGUCUAAUUUGAUUUAGUAGGGCAUUUUAACCUAAGCACCAUGCUUAAUUUAAAAUCCCUUGGAAAUAAGAUCAUCAUUCCUAAACUAAGUACCAUGCUUAAUUAAGACAUAAAUGAAACUACUCCAAACCUAGACAUAUACUAAAGCAAAUAAAGGUACCAUGAGAGCAUUUGUAGAGAUCUACUCAAGUGGAGAUGAAGUAGUGUGAUUAGUAUUUAACAAAUUAAGCAUGUCUCAAAGGUAUGGACAUCCAACAUAGCAACAUGGUAAAGGAUGUUUUUAUGUAAAGUACACCCCCAAGCUUGAAUUUUGCAAAAUUCAAGUUUGGAUGAAUUUAAUUUAAUGUUGUAUGAUGAUUGGUUGGACAUACCUUGUGCUUGUCAUUCAUCCGAUCUUCUUGCUCCAAUCCUGGAAAAGGUUAGUGACAAGAAUACCCGAAGGAAUUUUUUUUACAACUAUACUUAUAUGCUCAAAACACAAGGUAAUGUUGCAAAUAAUUAAAAGCUCAUGUUACGAUCUGAUCAGUGCUUAUUUUAGGGCACUAAGCUUGUCCUUGGGAAACCAUCAAUUUAUGUCGGCGAAGUGGUUUCCCCUCCAACGCUGACCUAUAUCAAGAUCAACUCAACGAGAUCUACAAUAUUUAUUAUAGACAUAUGUAUCGACAACCGCCCGUUUAAAGUUUUUAUAAAUAGAAAGGAAGAGGGGGUUGGAGAUCUCGAAUGUGGUGAUGUUGGAGAGACCAAAAGAUUGGGAAGAUGUUGCAUAUGAGCAUGGAGCAAAUGAAGUGGCUAUGAAAUAAAUUCCAAGCUCAUUAAUGCUUAGAGUGAAAUCCAUGUGGUGUGGUGAAAAUGGUAAGGUGAGUGUGGUAAAAAAAGAAAAGAAAAAGGAUACACGGACGACUUGGUUCGAAACUAGCACAACUACCGUUCCCCGGCAAUGGUGCCACAAAGCUUGUUGGGUAUUUUAAACGCAAACAGAAAAAUCCGCAAGCGCACGGAUACCGAUGUAGCUUUCACCCGGGAGUAUUCUAGAGUAUCGAUUUUCCACAGGGAAUGUGAGUGUACUAAUUAAGAUUCAAGAUCGCCCAAGGAUAACUAUAUAAUUAUUUUUUGGUGGGAAGAGAGGAAGUUUCCUGAGAGUUCUUCUAGUUGAUCUAAGAAUCAAGAAUUACUUCAAAGAUUAUUUAUUUUGGGACAUCAGAACACUAACCACAGAAAGAGAUGAGAAGGGGGCUAGGAAGCUCUGACUACAGUCCUACAAACACCGAUCCGAACGAGGUGGAAUACGUCGACUGUUAGGGCUGUCACUACCCUAGGGCUACCACAACAAUCCGCAGGAUUGGGUGCAAUUCCAGGUAAUUCCAAGACUAAACACCACGUCUAAUCUAUUAAUUACUACUCUAGUGUUAUAAAGACUAGAGCACUUGAUGCAAGCGGGAAUCCAAUAAAUAACUUGAAUGUAAAUGAAAGUAAUUAAAGAACUCAGGAAUUAUAAAUUGAAGAACUUGGAGAACGAUGAUGAACGAACCAGUUGCAGCAAAAGUAUAAUGUUGAGGAAGAUCCGAUAGAUCCGGCACCACCUUCGCUCUCCUCUUCUCUCUCCCUAUUUUCUAGAUUACAACUAGAACUAACUGGAACUAGAACUAGAGGAACUAGAACUAGAUGAACUAGAACUAGAUGAACUAGAACUAGAACUAGAUGAACUAGAGGGAUCCUCUCUACUUGGAUGAAGAAUUGAAACCCUAGUUUUGAUUCUGUAGAAGAGGUAUGAUCUCCAGGGGCCAGGGGGCCUUGCUUAUAUAGUCUUUUCAGAUGAAUCUGGGCCGUCGGAUCAAACCGACAUUAAUCGCACGGUUUUCCUUGAUCCUUUAGGUCGGUGGAGCGUAAUGCGCAAAAUGUGUCCUGAUUGGACUCUGGAAGUGGGCGGGCGCCUAGGAGAGUAGGGCGGGCGCCCUGUCCCUGAGCCCUCUCGGCUUCCCGUUCGUUCCCGUGGCUUCUGGAGUCUUCUAGAUGAUAGAAAAUUGCGCGGCACGUUAAUAUCUCUAUGUAAACCCAACGUGUGGGCCUUUCCUCCGUAUUUCCUGAUAACCCCCUGCAGAAAUAGAAAACACCAAAACUCGUGGAAUUUUGUCAGAUGAAACCAUAAGUCUAGGUGUUGGUUGCAUAUAAGUCCUUUUGCAUGAUUAGUUGAUGGUUAAAUAUGAGCAUUAAGGACCGUCAAUAGCUUGGAAACCUAGCAUAGAGUAGUGUUUACAUGUGAUAUCUAGACAUAUAUUUGAUCUCAUAAGGUACUUUGAGUUUUUGAUGAAUGUUUAGCUACAUUGGUGCUAAAAUGGUAUAUAUUGGCAACUCUAAUUGGUACCACGCUUCAAAGGUCCAUUCUAUAUACCUUAGCAUCAUUUUGGUAGUAAUAACUCUCCUAAAACUUCAAUACGUGCAUAUGUGCAAACUUGAACCAAACUCAUGGACGCACAUAUGUAGGGGGAGCUAGUACUACCAAAACCAAAAUUGAAAUGUUUGUCCAAUCUUGUUUUAUGAUCACAAUGCUUUGGACAAACAAUUCAAGUUCAAUACGAUUUAAUUUCAUAUCUUUGUGAUGGUUGUCAUCAAUUACCAAAAAGGGGGAGAUUGAAAGCCCAAGUUUGGUUUUAGUAAUUAAUGACACCAAGUUUCUAAAGCCUUUGUGCUUAGGUUAUUUGAGUUAGGCAUAGGAACACAUGUGAUGAAUGUGAAAUGUGACAUGGAGUGGUCGACACAUGAUCACUAAGAGAUAAAGCUUGAAGUGGAGAUCAUGGUGAUGGACAAGGAGUAAAGUGAUCGAGGCAAAGGUAUAAACAUAGAGUUUUGCUUUUGCCGAUCUAAGAUGAGUAGAGAAGUGAUUGACCGGAUUUAGGGUAGAUAGCCGACUAUCAAGAGGGGAAAUCAAGGUCAUCUCUCGAAUCAAGUGCUACUAGAUCAAUUCUUGAGCAUAUGCAUUGGGAUCUAGUAAAGUGCUAACCUAACUCCUUUGAAGAAAAUGUUUGUGAAAUGCUAGCACACAUGCACAAUGGUUGUGUACACUUGAUGAUGUUGGCACAAUUUCAAAGGAUGUGGAAUUGGAGGGGCAGAGAAGGUUUUGGGUUCUAACGCAGGGUGGUUCAGUGCUUUUGAGAAAAAUGUAAUGCAUAUUUUCUAUUACGCUGAAGGAAAGUUUCCAGAAAGUGGCGCAUCGGACGUAGGGUCAAACAAUGUCAAAUGUUGGAUCCUCAUCCGACGUGUUUAGUGCAGUGAGGCAAAGUUUGGUUUGUGUGUUGAAGCAUCCGACACCUAGGCAUUGGUGCGUCUAAUGUCUGCACUAUAGUAGGUGACAUCGGCAUGACAUGAGCGAGCAGUUUAGGUAGUACUCGUCGGACGCUGGAGUGUGUCUGAUGUGUGUUCAUCGGAUGUGUCCGGUGUGAACUGAGAGGUUUUCAAACCUCACUCAAUAGUGUUUGGUGUGAGCAGGCCACGUCCGGUGCACAGCGUCUGCGCAUCCAACAUGUAGUUCAUUCGAAGUGUUAUGUUUGUUGACACUUGCUAACACCACUUGAAUACUAGGUUGUCAUCCCCAGCAUGGCACUAGAGUGUACUAUGGUAUUUAUACACACACAGAUAAAUCCACAAGCGCACGGAUACCGUUGAAGCUUUUACCCGGUUAAAGGUUUUAUCGUAUCCACAGGGAAACGGGAGAACUGAUCUAUGCUCUAACUUAACCAAGAAAGUAAAUAGGUGUAAAUAGGAAAGAUGGUAGAAUCGAAUAAGAACAAUAUUAAAGGUAAGAUAACAGUGAGUGAUAAUAUGGGAAUAGAGAAUAGAACAAUUCUAGUAUAUGGGCGAUGAUAGCAGAAUAGAUAGAAUAACUAUGGUUUCUCUACUUCAAAGGGGUAUGUCUAUGUCUGGGACGAACCACGUGAUAAGAAUACACCACAAAGGAUGCUUAUCCAUAGGCCGAUAAACCCUACCCGUCCUGCUAACAAGAGGUGGACUACAGGGGACCAACGUAAUUGUCACCUACGCGGCCUACCACACGAUCUAGCUAGACAGGGGAUAUUCACAAGUAAUCUAGGUCUAAGCACCACGCUUACACCUAUACUACAACUCUAACCUAUAGGGUCCUAUAGAUUAGAAGUACUCAAAAGAGUUGUGAACCAGAACAUACAUGAUUAGUAAUUGCAUAAUGAAUUAGAAGUAGAUUACUAGAGUCAUCCCAUGAGCAAGCUUGAUUAGAGCUUGAUCAUGGCGAAGUACAACCGGAGGAAGAACCGACAGGCCGGCCUCUCCUCCAAUCCUCCCUCGCUCUCCAUCUCGCUACUAUCUAGAUCUACUCUAGUUUAGAGAAGAGGGAGAGCUCUCAUCUCUAAACCCUAGCUUUGCUCUGUCUAUGAAUAAUGAAUAUGGAUCAAGGGGUUGCCUCCUCCAGGGGCCAGGGGGUCUGCUUAUAUAGUCCGCAUAUUCCAUUCAUCCUGGUAGCACUAAGAUGUAUCUAGAUCUGAAACAGAAGUACUGGUGGUAUGGUUUAAAGAGAGAUGUGGCUGAAUAUGUUGCUUUGUGUGAUACUUGUCAGCGAGUGAAAGCUGAACAUCAGAGGCCAUCUGGACUGUUGCAACCAAUGAAGAUUCCUGAAUGGAAGUGGGAAGAAGUAGGCAUGGAUUUCAUAGUGGGUUUACCUCGUACACAGAGAGGAUAUGAUUCAAUAUGGGUAAUAGUGGAUCGAUUGACUAAAGUUGCUCACUUCUUGCCAGUCAAAACCACUGAUUCAGGAGCUCGACUAGAAGAGUUGUAUAUGGAGCGGAUAGUUUGUUUGCAUGGAGUGCCUAAGAAGAUUGUAUCUGAUAGAGGCACUCAGUUUACCUCUACUUUCUGGAAAGCAGUGCAUGAUUCCUUAGGGACAAAGUUGAAUUUUUGUACAGCAUAUCAUCCACAGACAGAUGGAUAGACUGAGCGAAUCAAUCAGAUACUAGAAGAUAUGUUGAGAGCUUGUGCAUUGCAAUAUGGAACCAGUUGGGAUAAGAGUUUACCAUAUGCAGAGUUUUCUUACAACAACAGUUAUCAGCAAAGUCUUAAAAUGGCACCGUUCGAAGCAUUAUAUGGUCGUAAGUGUAGAACACCUUUGUUUUGGAAUCAGACAGGAGAGACUCAGGUGUUUGGUACGGAUGUGCUUAGACAUGGAGAACAACAAGUGCGGACUAUCCGGGAUAAUCUGAGAGUUGCUCAGUCUCGUCAUAAAAGUUAUGCAGAUACACGUAGGAGAGAACUAGCUUUCGAGGAAGGUGAUUAUGUCUAUAUGAAAGUGUCACCUAUGCGGAGUGUGAAGAGGUUUAAUAUGAAAGGAAAGCUAGCUCCAAGGUAUGUCGGUCCGUUUAAAGUUUUGCAAAGGUGUGGAGAAGUAGCGUAUCAGUUAGAGUUGCUUGAAAGUUUAUCUGGUGUGCAUGAUGUGUUCCAUGUGUCACAACUUAAGAAGUGUUUGCGUGUACUUGAGGAGCAAAUACCAUUGGAAGAGCUUUCUGUUAAAGGUGAUCUCACUUAUGAAGAGUAUCCGGUCAGAAUAUUGGAGACCGCUGAGAGAGUCACCAGAAGUCGGGUCAUCAGAAUGUGCAAAGUGCAGUGGAAUCGGCAUUCGGAAGCAGAGGCAACUUGGGAAAGAGAGGAAAUCAUACUCAUACUUGUUUGAGUAAGCACCUUUCAAUCUCGAGGACGAGAUUCUUUUAAGGGGGGUAGAGUUUGUAACACCCAAAAUUUGAUUUUGAAUUAAUAGGAAUUAAUUUGAUUAUUUAAGAAUUUUUGUGAGCAUUUAAAAUUAGUAAAUAAAUAAAUUUCAUGGAAAUUAAAAUUGAUAAUAGGUUUAGUAACCUUGAUUGUGCAUUCAUGCUGGAGCAUAGUGUUUUUGUGUUGCUUGUUGGAUUUUAUUUAUUUAUCUAUGUUCACAUUUCUCUUGGAAAAGAAAACUAAAAAAAGGAAAAGGGAAAAGCCCCUCGAACUAGGCCGAAGCCUAGCCAGCACAGCGCCUGGUUUUCCGCCGUGCUCGGCCCAACCAGCUCCCUGGCCGAAGCCCAGCAACAGGCCCGCAGCACGCCUCUCCCCUCUCUUGGUCACUGGCAGCCGGGCCCUCUUCUCCUUCUCUUGCUGUCACACGGGACCCACAAGUCAGCCUCCCCUCCCACCUUUCCCUUCUUCUCCACCGUAACAGAACCGGAGAAUCCACCGAACGACGGGGAAAUCCCGGUUUCCUCGGGAUCCCUUCCCAAUCCACGUGUCAUGCCCCUAUAAAGCUCUCAAACCAACCCCGUAGACCCCCUUUCGCACUUAAGCCGUUCAACCCGAGCUCUAGCUUCGUCUUCCAUGACAACUAGAUCUCGCCGAGAGUCCUCUCCGCCGCGGUGAGUGCCCAGCUGUUUCUGCUCCUUCUCGAGCCGAAUCGACCCCCUAGGUGAGAUCGCCACACUCUCCUCUUCUCGCCCAUGUGCUCGGUUUGAAUUUUUGUGCACGGAAUCGCGUAAACGGCGAACUCCGGCGAGCUGGAUGGCGGCGUUCAUGGCGCACCGCCGCGUCGGCUCCUGUUUUCGGCGGCCGGCCGGCCGGAGUGCCUCGGGGUGGAUCUGCAGCCGUCCGAUCGAGAUCCUAUGGCACAGAAAAGAAGAUACCGUUUCGUUUCAAUUUUUGCUAAAGAGACCCUCUGGAUUAGAGAAAUCAACCCGCGGUCCUUGGCGCCUUUGCGGGUUGACGCUUUCCAGAUCCGAAGACGUAUUCUCGUCGGUUCAAGUGAAAAGGCGCUUUCCAGAAUUUACAAAAAUGCCAUUGAGUUUGUUUAGGCCAUAAAAUGCUCAUUUUAACUCCGUUUUUAUCCAUCCAAAUUUCGUUAGAUUCGUUUCAACGAGGUCUACAUGUUAGAAGUAUUAGUUUACAGUUUUGAAACUUUUUAAUUCUGCAGUAACAUUUAAUUAAUUAUUUCUCUAGGAAAUCUUGGAAAAUUCAUAUCUUCUACGUUUUAAUUCCGAUUUUCGUGAACUUUACGUUGGUGUGAUCGUAGCGCUUUUUAGAAUAUUUUGAUAAACUUUUAUAUUUGUUUUACCACUGUUUGGUGUAUUGUUCUAAUUAUAUCUUGUUUGCUUUGUGUAUGAUUGUCUACAUUGGAUUGUGUGUUGUUGAUUGAUGAUUGGGAUUAGACGGUGAGCUGUACGUUGGUGCUCAAGAUCAAGUAUUUGAAGACCAGCAGGCUCAGGAGAGCUUUGAACAAGGCAAGUAUAACUUGGGAUUAUCCUUGUUACCUACACACUUUUAAUACAUAUAUCAUAUGCAUGUGUCCACCUUGAUGACCUUAGCAAAAUCAUAGAUGAUUGUUAUCCUGAAUUCUUUGUUACCUAUUUGGAUAUUGUUGACGGUUCUUAAGUAUCAAUUUUAAUUAUCAAAUAAACAAGAGAAAGGACCAAUAUGCAACCAUCACCUAGAACUAGUUUUGUUGUUUAUCUAUUUCUGCAGGGGGUUAUCAGGAAAUAAGGAAGAAAGACCCACAUGUCAGGAUUACAUAGAGAUAUCAACGCACCGCGCAAUUUUACAUCAUCUAGAAGACUCCAGAAGCCACGAGACCGAAGCGGAGGCGAAGCUGGGCCAGGCCCAGGGCGCCCGCCCCCCUGCUGGAGCCAAUUCAGGACUCCUUCGCUCGGGAUAUUCCACCGACCUAUUGGAUCAAGAAAAAUAUAGUACCACCUCGCCUAUCGACCCAAAAACGCAUAGAAGGGGAGGACUAUAUAAGCAAGGCCCCCCUGGCCCCUGGAGAAGACAUGAAGAAAUUAUCAUAGAGACUAAGGGGUGCCCUCGAAGGAAAACCUCUUCUCUAAUUAAUAUUUCUUUUUAGGCUUAGCAAUCAAUGUAAGGUAGAAAUAGAUCUUCUAGUUUCUACUAGAUUGAGAGAGAUAGAGUGGAGGUGUAGAGUGGAGGAAGCCCGGCCUGUCGGUGUCUACUCCAAGCUUGUACCUGCGAGAUCAAGUUCUCCUAACCCGAAGCUUGCUCCUAGGAUUCUUCAGUAAUUCGACUUCUAAAUUCUAGUAAGUUCUUGUUUUAUUGUUCUUAUGGUUUAUGAGUUUACUUUAAUCUCUUCGCGUAGAGUUUAGAGUAAUCAUUGCUGGCGUAAACGUGGUGUUUAGGCUGGGGUACUCAUAGAUAUUCCCUGACUAGCUAGACCGUGGUAGUAGUGAGGAACGUGACAUUUCCGAGCUACCUUUGUAGAUCACAUCUCGUUAGCAGGAAGGAUAGGGUUUAUAGGUGCGGGUCGAACAUCCUUUGUGUUGUCUAGAUUCCAUUAGCCUCCCCAUUAGAACAGUAGAUCAUCCUUACCAAGGUUAGAAGGAGACUACGGUUGCAGUCUUCUCUAUUUGUCACUCACAUCGAAAGACAUUCUUUGUGCCUAAAGGUUAGUAGUAAUAGACUGGUUAGUCAGAUGCACCCUUUCUCCCAGUGGUAAAAAUAUAAAUACAAUAACUCUGGAUAACCUCCCAGGUGAAAUGCUCACCGAUAUCCGUGCGCUUGCGGAUCAAUUCCUUAUUACGUUCCCAAAUAUCAAUAAGCAUUUCUGGCGCCGUUGCCGGGGAGAAAGACGGUUUGUUGAGAUAACUUUGAGUCUUGCUAUUAUCUUGUAUUAUACUUUUAUACUUUUAUUCUUUUAUCUUUUUAUCUUUAUGGAUAUCUUAAAUUCCAUAACUAUUAUUAAAUUCUUUGCACCUUCGGAGACCAGCCAUAGACCAUGGGAGUCAACACGUCCUGCCCCUAAUUAUGAUCUGUGUCCGGAGUUGAUUGCAAUAGGUCAAAACCAACCCUUUUCUAUAGCUGAGGUCCUAUCUUUUAAUCAAAAAGAUAAUGCACUUUUAGCUACACCUAGGGAAUCUUUUAAUUUUUCUAUAAAUUCUGGUUUAGACCUAGCCCUACAAGACCAUGUUUUUCCUAGAUAUUUUCACAUUGGUCUUAAUCAUAUAACCUUUGGUAGAGUCCUUCUUUCUUUAUCAGUUAGUAACGGAAGGUAUGUCUUCAUUCGUGGACAUCCUUCUUGUACUAGUCUUCAUAGAAAAAUCAUAGAGAUAGAGAAGGAAUCAUCUCCCAUACAAGGAGAGAAAGUUUCAAUAGCCGAUUUACAAACUUUCCAAUCCCAUGAUUCGGCUACCCAACCCAUCCUUGAGCCUAAUAAUCUCUAAUAUGCUCUUUCUCUUGAACCUCCCGAUAAUCCUAUGAAUCUCUCUAGACAUCCCAUGCAUAAGAAGGAGGAUCGAGGAGAGCAACAUCAAUGGCUAGAGGGCAUUAAAAAUUCAUGUGCUAUCACCACAUUUGAGAUCUCCAACCCUCUCUUCUUUAAAAGAGCGGUUGUCGAUGCAUAUGUUUAUAAUAAAUAUUGCAGAUCUCGUCGAGUUAAUUGAUGGUUUCCCAAGGACAAGCUUAGUGUCCUAAAACAAGCACUUAUCCGAUUGUAACAAGAACUUCUAAUUACUUGCAACAUUACAUUGUGUAUUGAGCAUAUAAGAUAAUUGUAGAAAUAUUCCUUUGGGUAUUCUUGUCACUAACCUUUCUAGGAUUGGAGCAAGAAGACCGGAUGAAUGACAAGCGCAAGGUAUGCCCAACCAAUCAACAUGCAACAUUGAAUUAAAUUCAUCCAAUCUUGAAAUUUGCAAAAUUCAAGCUUAGGGGAGUACUUCACAUAAAACAUCCUUUGCCAUGUUGCUAUGUUGGCUGUCCUUACCUUUGAGACAUGCUCAAUUUGUUAAAUACUAAUCACACUACUUCAUCUCCACUUAAGUAGAUCUCUAUAAAUGCCAUCACGCUACCUUUGUUUAUCCUAGUAAGUGUUAGUUUGGAAGUACUGCGCAUACUUCUAUUGGCUUUUAAAUUAAGCAUGGUGCUUAGGUUAAACAGCCUUCCUUAAUUUGAUUAGACAUGGAGUCUAGUUCGGUUAUCGAACUAAAAAUUGCUUGUGUAGACAUUGGUAUAUUUUGUGGGACUAACCCCUGUAGGAAAACUUUCAAUAUCAACCUGGGAAGUCCUGAGAUAAACUCACAUUGGAGAUAAAGAAAGUGACACAUGAAGUUUAACAAUUUGCACAAGAAAGACGUAGCUCAUAAGAGAUGAUCCAUGGAGGGAGCCACAAACACGAUGCACAACCGCUAGAAAGGAAAGCUUCUACAAGGUGAUACUGUACCAUCACUCUUCAAAGGUAACAUCUUAAGGUACUUGACUAUCCUUUUAUAAGUUUCUCCUUGGUUCUGGCGUUCACAUAAAUAAAGAGACAAACAUGUAUGAUUUAUAACUCUAAAUUAACCAACCUAACUGAUUCAACAUGUUUAGUCCCUUAAUCUUUGUUCUUAGUACUACCUUCGUAAUCCCAUGCUCCAAAACAUAUAAGCUAAUAUGUUGCACAUUCAAUCUUUGGAAGAUAAAAACAAAACAUAAAUAUAGAUAGAUUAUCUUUCCAUUAGGUUGAGCCAUCUGAUCUAACAAAUAUUUUAAAUGCUACACUCAUGAUCCAUCAACUUUGUCUUGCUCACUAUGCUUAAGGUUAGAAAAGAACAAAUACACUUUUGGUUCUGUUGGUGUUUUCCACCAACAGAGCCCAUGCACUUGAUCUCUGCCUUGUCUCUAUGAGCAGGACACAUUUUGAGAAACGUGAAGGCGUUUUACAACUCCCAGAUUCCAUUAAGUGAAGAACCGAGAUCUACGAGCACAAACACAAUGGAGAUCAGACACUUAGUUUCCCAAAGGAAAUAUUAAAGAACCUCUGUGUCCAAAUUGGUACCUUGUACGCCCCAGCAAACUUCGUAGUGGUAGAGACUGGUACUGAGGAGAGGGCACCCAUCAUCUUAGGGAGGCCAUUCCUAAACACCAGAGCUAUCAUCUACGCUAAUGCUGCCAAGAUCAGUCUCUACAUCAAGGGGAAGAAGGAGACUUUCCUUCAAGAACAAGACUACAUAAACUUCAGAGCAAUCCCGACAUGAACCAAGGAAGAGGACCAAUAGGAGGAACAGGAACAAGCAAAUGUGGACCGAGUCAGCUAAGAUGGUCACUGCAGCUCAAGGAGGUCAAGAUCCUCGACUCAAGUCACCUUUCUUGAUCAAGAAGGACGACCCUGGUGUUCCAAGCAUCGAGUGCACAACCAACAGAUACUCUUUUUAGAAAACACUCUACGACACCGGAUCGAACGUCAACAUAAUGGCCGCAGUCACUUAUCAGCUCUUGCAUGGAACCAUGCCCCUACAACCAAUAUAUAUUUAGCUCCAGAUGAUUUUCAGAACAUUGAUAUGGGAGAAGACGAGUACGAUCCACCCAUCAUCCUUGGAAGACCAUUCCUCAACACUAUCCAAGUUAUCAUCUACAUUGGAACCGGAGAAGUCCACGUGUAUUUCCCCUCUGAGAAGGUACGCCAUUACUUUAAUGAUUCUAACUAUAUAGUUGAAGAUUCUAAGCAGGUCAGGACAAGAAGAAGACGACGCAACCACAACUAGAGGAGGCAAAUCAUCAAGGACGGAUGGGCAGACUACGAAGGAAAAGUUGUAAGGUCAGAAGACGUUGAGUUUAAACAGAAUUAUCCAGAGGAGACCGAAGCACCAAGUCAGGUGUGGAAAAUGAAGAUAACUAUACAUGAAGAGGAGGCGCUGCCGGAAGUACCGACUACGCCACCCAACGAACCUCAGGAUAAUUGAGAAGGAGGAGAGUCCCGUUCGGAGGACUUAAAAACACCGAAUGCCUUGCCAAGAGGUAAACUUGGUAGUUAUCCUUUCCCUUUCAAUUAUUUCAAGUAGUUCACUUAGUUAAUUAAGUUCUAAACAGAAAGUAAAAAUGUGAAAAACAGUAAGCCCCAUGUGAGGAUACGAGUGGCAUAAAACCCAUAAGUACAUUCACUGUGGUGGCAUAAAAAUAAAAUAAAAAUAUUUUUCUGCUUUAUAAAAUAAAAAUAUAAAAACAGAGAGUAAUAAUUAUUAAGGAGUCUCAACAUGAUAAAGGCUAGAUAUUUAUGGUAACACUUAAUUAGUUCCACAAGCUUUGUUGUCUAUUUGAGCUCCACAGAAUCUAAGAAUCAAGAAGACUGGCAGACGGAGGAUAUUCUAAUCGCUGUCACAAUGCUGCUGACUUUCAAAUACACCUCUGCCACCUGCUAGCUACAUCAAGAGAAAUUACGUCAAAAUUCAGCUUGGGGGAGAGCACCCCCAUUUAUCUCGAUAAGUAUUUCUAUCCAUCUUUAUACUUAUAUUAUUUUAGAAUAUAAAUAUACAUAACUAUGAAAAACCAAAUAAAGAUUUUAUGCUUAUAUAUAUAUAUCUUUUGCUUAGUGUGUUUCAUAAAUAAAUAAAGUGGCUAUGCUAAUCGGUAUCUAAAUAAAACUCAAGUAUGGAAAUGAUGAAUAGUUGCUCUGCCUAAUUUGCACAUUUUAAGUUCUCUCUCAAGUUUAGACAUAACUGUUAUAAUUUAAAGCUUGCUCUAGACCUAAACUUGUGGGAUGAAAACUUGAUCUGAAAUCUAAGUUGUUAAUGGAUACGAUAUGGGAAGGUUGAGCUGCUGUUUAUCUGUUUCUAGAGAUGCUAGAAUUCUAGAGAAUUUUAUCUUUGGAAAUCUUUAAAAUGUUGCAUGAUGAGUUCCUGUAUGAUGAGAGUUUAAAUUCCUACCACAGCCAUAUAUACAUGCUUGCUAGACUUCGAGCCACACAUUUAUUUUUUAUUGCUUAUGAGCAUUGAGUGUGGUCAAGCUGUGUAGACCCUUAGGAGCUUGUCAUUAAAUCAAGAUUCACUUGCACGUUCACUCACACAUGCUACUUCUACUCCGGAAGUACCAUCCACAUAUAUCCAUACAUUUCCAUCUUCAGAAUCACCCAAAAAUAUUCUACUCCUAAUCCGGGAGAGAAUAGCCAAAAAUAAUUUUGUUCUUCCUUGUGUAAUAAAUGCCUCAAGAUCAAUAAAGAGUAUUAUUAUUAUGUCUUGUGUGUCUCUACUUUAUUUUUGUGCAAGAAAGCAGAAAACAAGUAUGGGAGAGAUCCCUCGACAUGCUAAACACACUCCGACUACACCACUCCACGAUUCAGGUACACACUUUGCACACUUUACUUUACACAUAUAUAUAUUUUAGAUUAUGCAGAAUAUUGUUCCCGACAUGAUAAAAUAAAAAGAUUAAAAUAUUUCUAAUCAUGAUUAAUCUCAAUCUGUGAUAUUUCCUGAAAACUUGCAAAUUAUUAUAAAAUUAUUUUAAAACCCUGUGUUACUUAAGUCAAUAUGGAAUAUGUGAUGGUAGAGUAUGAGUUUCUUAUUCUUGAUAUCAUUGUUGCUUGGAGAAUUUAUUUCAAAAUAUUCAAAUUCCUAGCUACCAUCCUCAGUGUUUUAUAUGCCUGAUAAAACUGAAAUAUUAAAUAUGAUUAUAAAAGCUAUCUGCUCUGUAUUGAGUUUGUUCAAAAUGAGUUAGACCCUUGUUGAGAGAUUUAUCAUGCUUCUAAGAUCAAGACACUAUUUCAGUAAGAUUCACUCUUCCGAAGUAUUAUUGCAUUAGAGGCAUGGGCUAUGCAAAAAUAGAGAUAUUUCAAGGAAAUAAAAAGGAGCAAGUGCUCGACAACCUCGCAGAAAAAAUGGACAAGUGUCCGGCAGUAGAAUUAGGGGUACCUCGGUAUCCACUUAAAAAAAAAGAAGAAAGAAAAAAAUGAUAGCCCAUGGUCCCUCUAAUAAGCAAUAUGCCAGCAAGAGUUGACAAAGUUUUUAAUUUCCAAAGUCUUUGAUCUAAGAGUAUGACAUUUCCCUCCUCGGAUCCCGUUUUGAUCAGGCAAUAAAUCCAAAGUAAGUAUGCUUGAGAAUUUUUGCAAAAUAAAACAGCCUCAGUGAGAUAUAUAUAUAAAAGAUAAUGAGUGAUCUGAGAGAACCUAUGAGGAUCAAAAGGUAUGCUAACUUUCUUUCAAAAAUAUACAAAAACUCCAAGUGACAGGAUUGAAAAGAAAGAAUCUUUACUCUUAACCAUAUACUUCCCUGACUACAGUACACAGUGGAAUUUUGAACACCCUGCAAUUGUAAAGAAAAUGUUUUAAAUGUUUACCCCAGAUUUUGUUCUUAACCAUCCUUUUCUCGAGGACGACUAAAAGCCUAAGUAUGGGGGUAUUUGUUGACGGUUCUUAAGUAUCAAUUUUAAUUAUCAAAUAAACAAGAGAAAGGACCAAUAUGCAACCAUCACCUAGAAUUAGGGUUUGAUCUGACAGAAUUCCACGAGUUUUGUUGUUUAUCUAUUUCUGCAGGGGGUUAUCAGGAAAUAAGGAAGAAAGGCCCACAUGUCAGGAUUACAUAGAGAUAUCAACGCACCGCGCAAUUUUACAUCUUCUAGAAGACUCCAGAAGCCACGAGACCGAAGCGGAGGCGAAGCUGGGCCAGGCCCAGGGCGCCCGCCCUGGAAGCCUGGGCGCCCGCCCCCCUGCUGGAGCCAAUUCAGGACUCCUUCGCUCGGGAUAUUCCACCGACCUAUUGGAUCAAGAAAAACAUAGUACCACCUCGCCUAUCGACCCAAAAACGCAUAGAAGGGGAGGACUAUAUAAGCAAGGCCCCCCUGGCCCCUGGAGAAGACAUGAAGAAAUUAUCAUAGAGACUGAGGGGUGCCCUCGAAGGAAAACCUCUUCUCUAAUUAAUAUUUCUUUUUAGGCUUAGCAAUCAAUGUAAGGUAGAAAUAGAUCUUCUAGUUUCUACUAGAUUGAGAGAGAUAGAGUGGAGGUGUAGAGUGGAGGAAGCCCGGCCUGUCGGUGUCUACUCCAAGCUUGUACCUGCGGGAUCAAGUUCUUCUAACCCGAAGCUUGCUCCUAGGAUUCUUCAGUAAUUCGACUUCUAAAUUCUAGUAAGUUCUUGUUUUAUUGUUCUUAUGGUUUAUGAGUUUACUUUAAUCUCUUCGCGUAGAGUUUAGAGUAAUCAUUGCUGGCGUAAACGUGGUGUUUAGGCUGGGGUACUCAUAGAUAUUCCCUGACUAGCUGGACCGUGGUAGUAGUGAGGAACGUGACAUUUUCGAGCUACCUUUGUAGAUCACAUCUCGUUAGCAGGAAGGAUAGGGUUUAUAGGUGCGGGUCGAACAUCCUUUGUGUUGUCUAGAUUCUGUUAGCCUCCCCAUUAGAACUGUAGAUCAUCCUUACCAAGGUUAGAAGGAGACUACGGUUGCAGUCUUCUCUAUUUAUCACUCACAUCGAAAGACAUUCUUUGUGCCUAAAGGUUAGUAGUAAUAGACUGGUUAGUCAGAUGCACCCUUUCUCCCAGUGGUAAAAAUAUAAAUACGAUAACUCUGGAUAACCUCCCGGGUGAAAUGCUCACCGAUAUCCGUGCGCUUGCGGAUCAAUUCCUUAUUGCGUUCCCAAAUAUCAACAGAUAUGCAUUUGGGUAGUUCUUGCUAGUGCUUGAUUAUUAAUCCAUGAUCUUGUAACAUGAAUAUUUGAAUAUACAAUAAACAAUAAAAUAAGCUUUCUAGCAACUUGAAUAUAAAGGGUGGAAAGAACUUUGGCUUUUGCUGGAUUGAUCUUGACCCUCCAUAAGGACUUAUCCCUUGGCAAAAGCUGGGACAACUCGUACAACCAUGAGGGCUAUAUGGCUCUGGCUUUAGCUCAGUAUGAAGAACUUUUCUAGCUUGUUAGAGGUUACCCGAAAGGGCGGAGGGGCUGAACCGUUUUGGGUAUAGUGCGGCCUCUGUCUGUAUGUGUAUAGGCUGCGAGUCAUUGUGCCAUUGGAAGGGGGGCUCUAUAUCUGCGCGCAAAGGAAACCUUGCGGCCCUAACAUGUUAGACGAACUUUUGAAAGGCUUCAUAGUGAUCCCUGCCGACCUCCCUUGGAAGGGGGUUAAGAGACUAGCUACCUCGGGCGAAAGGAUAAAUCACGACUCAUGGGUAAAGAUGUACAACCUCUGUAGAGUGUUAAAUCUGGUAUACUAGCCGUGCCCACGGAUACGGGCGGCCCGGAAAACUGACGGAAUAGAUGGACACUAAUGAACAUGAGUAAUGAUGAUAAUUGAUGGUUUAUUAUGUUGUUUAUAUGUGUUAUUCUUAAUUCUUGUAUACAUUGAUCAUGUGGUUAUGGAAUUAAUUAUGCUACCUUGACAUUUGCUAUCGAAUGAUUAAACAUGCUAUCCACUAUUAAAAGCUAAAUGCAGUCAAAACAGUGUCAGCUAUUUUGAGCCUCAUGAACCCCUGGUUAUACUUGUUGAGUACGAUAUGUGCUCACUCUUGCAAUUUUCCAACACCUCAGGAUAUGAUAAUGAAGAUGACUGGAAUGAGGAUUACCGUUAUGAGUACUGUUGAUAUUUGGUAACGCAAUUAGAAAAUGAUCCGCAAGCGCACGGAUAUCGGUGAGCAUUUCACCCGGGAGGAUUUCCAGAGUAUCGUAUUUAUAUUUUUACCACUGGGAGAAAGGGUGCAUCUGACUAACCAAAUCUAUUGCUACUAUCCCUUUAGGCUACAAAGAAUGUCUCUCGAUGUGAGUGAUGUAUAGAGAAGACUGCAACCGUAGUCUCGUUCUAACCUUGGUAAGGAUGAUCUACUGUUCUAUUGGGGAGGCUCACGGAAUCCAGACAACACAAAGGAUGUUCGACCCGCACCUAUAAACCUACCCGUCCUGCUAACGAGAUGUGAUCUGCAAAGGUAACUCGGAAUUGUCACGUUCCUCGCUACUACCACGGUCCAGCUAGUCAGGUGAUAUCUAUGAGUACCCUAGCCUAAACACCACGUUUACGCUAACAAGUGAUUACUCUAAUACUCAACCGGAAGAGGAUAAAGUAAACUCAUAAACCAAAGAAUAAUCAAACAAGAACUUACUAGUAAUUAGAAGUCGAAUUACUGAAGAAUCUUAGAAGCAAGCCUCGGGUUAGGAGACUUGAUCCCGUAGGUAUAACUCGGAGUAGACACCGACAGGCCGUCCUUCCUCCGAUCCACACCUCCACUCUAUCUCUCUCAAUCUAGUAGAAACUAGAAGAUCUAUUUCUACUUUACAUUGGUUGCUAAGCCUAAAAAGAAAUAUUAUUUAGAGAAGAGGUUUUCCAUCGAGGGCACCCCUCAAUCUCUAUGAUAAUUCCUUGUCUUCUCUAGGGGCCAGAGGGGGUCUCCUUAUAUAGUCCUCCCCUUCUAUGCGUUUUUGGGUCGAUAGGCGAGGUGGUACUAUGUUAUUCUAGAUCCAAUAGGUCGGUGGAACAUCGUGUACGAAGAGAGUCCGGAACAGAGUCCAGAGGGGGGCGGGCACCCAGGUCCUCAGGGCGGGCGCCCUGGGCCUGGCCCCUUUCGGGCUCCGCUUCCUUCCCGUGGCUUCUGGAGUCUUCUAGAUGAUAGAAAAUUGCGCGGUGGGUUGAUAUCUCUAUGUAAUCCCGACAUGUGGGCCUUUCUUCCUUAUUUCCUGAUAACCCCCUGCAGAAAUAGACAAACACCAAAACUCGUAGAAUUCUGUCAGAUAAAACCCUAAGUCUAGAUGUUGAUUUCAUUUGGAUCCUUUUCUUUAUUUAUUUGAUAAUUAAAUUUGAUACUUAAGGACCGUCAACAAACUCCCCAAAGCUUACCUCUUGCUCGUCCCUGAGCAAGGAUAGACUUAGCUAUGGAUCAUAAAUUGUUGCAAUAUUUUUAAAAAUUGAUGUACACAUGCUUUUUAAAUAAGAUCUCAUCUCUGAGUUAGAGUAAACUGUCAAGACUUAAAACUUACUUACUUUACCUUUACCAUGGGACUUGUAACUGUCACUUCUGUCUUGAGUGGUUAAAAGAUAGAACAGUCUAGCCAAGUGCCAUGUCUCUUAUUCUUGAUCAGCUAUAGCUUAAGAGUUUUUGCAGAUUUUCAAAUAAAACUCAGAGAUUCCUUGUAUGAUUCUCUCAGAUCUCUCUUUUGUGGUAUUUUUGGAUCCUUACCAAGGCAUUGAUGGUAUAUGCCUUCUCUCAAGAUAUGUGGUAUUUGUGGUAUAAGGCAUUGCCUUCUCUCUCACCCUACUAUAAUAAGGCUUUAAUAUCUGGAGCUCAUAGGUGGGAGAUAAAGUAUACAUACUUACAAGACAUUUAUUGCAUAGUCAAACCAUGGAUCCAAAGAAACAAAUCAAUAAGCCAAAUCAAGAUGUGCAUGUGUGGCGAAUGAAUGGUGUAUGGUGAUGAUGGUGAUAACAAUGGUGGUGGAAGUCUAAUUCUACUUUGCUCUUUGAGGGGAUACAUACCUUCCUUGCUUUUGAAACUUUAUGAGGAGAAUGAGAUGCUCUUCUUUUUUUUCUCUCAGGUGGGUAUCUUGCACCCCUAAUUCUACUGUCGGACACUUGUCCAUUUUUAUCUCUCGUCUCACUUUUUUCUUUUUCUUCGAGGUUCCGGGCACUUGCCCCUUUUUAUUUCCUCGUAUUUAUUAUUAUUUUUUCUUUCUUUUUUUUCUCUUUUUUUAGAGCAUUCAUCUCUUGAGAUAAUAUAGCAAGUGGUAGUAACAAGAUAACUUGAGCAUUUAUUUCACAAGGGGAAACAGAAAUAUUUUUGGUUAUUCUCUCCCGGAUUAGGAGUAGAAUACUUGUGGGUGGUUUUGGAGAUGGAAAUGAGUGGAUAUAUGUGGAUGGUACUUCCGGAGUAGAAGUAGCAUGUAUGAGUGAACGUGCAAGUGAAAUCUUGAUUUAACCACAUGACAAGUUCCUAAGGGUCUACACAGCUUGACUACACUCAAUGCUCAUAAGCAGUAAAUAGUAAAUGUGUGGCUCAAAGUCUAGCAAGCAUGUAUAUAUGGCUGUGGUAGGAAUUUAAACUCUCAUCAUACAGGAACUCAUCAUGUAACAUUUUAAAGAUUUUCAAAGAUAAAAUUCUCCAGAAUUCUAGCAUCUCUAGGAACAGAUAAACAACAGCUCAACCUUCCCAUAUCGUAUCCGUUAACAACUUAGACUUCAGAUCAAGUUUUCAUCCCACAAGUUUAGGUCUAGAGCAAGCCUUAAAUUAUAACAGUUAUAUCUAAACUUGAGAGAGAACUUCAAAUUUGCAAAUUAGGCAGAGCAACUAUUCAUCAUAUCCAUGCUUAAGUUUUAUUAGAUACAGAUUAGCAUAGCCACUUUAUUUAUUUAUUAAACACACUAAGCAAAAUAUAUAUAAGUAUAAAAUCUUUAUUUGGUUUUUCAUAGUUAUGUGUAUUUAUAUUCUAAUAUAGUAUAAGUAUAAAGAUAGAUAGAAAUACUUAUCGAGAUAAAUGGGGGUGCUUUCCCCCAAGCUGAAUUUUGACGUAAUUUCUCUUGAUGUAGCUAGCAGGUGGCAGAGGUGUGUUUGAAAGUCAGGAGUAUUUUGACAGCGAUUAGAAUGUCCUCUGUCUGCUAGUCUUCUUGAUUCUUAAAUUCUGUGGAGCUCAAAUAGACAACAAAGCUUGUGGAACUGAUUAAGUGUUAGCAUAAAUAUUUAGCCUUUAUCAUCUUGAGACUCCUUAAUAAUUAUUACUCCCUGUUUUUUAUAUUUUCAUUUUAUAAAGCAGAAAAAUAUUUAUUUUAUUUUUAUGCCACCACAGUGAAUGUACUUAUGGGUUUUAUGCCACUCGUAUACUCACAUGGGGCUUACUGUUUUUCACAUUUUUAUUUUCUUUUAUUUUUAAGAUAGUAUGAAUAUGAUUAACUAAGUAAACUAUCUAAAAUAAUUGAAAGGGAAAUGAUAACUACCAAGUUUACCUCUUGGCAAGGCGUUCGGUAUUUUUAAGUCCUCCGAACGGGACUCUCCGUUUUCGUAGUCGUCCUGGGAUUUGCUGGGUGGCGUAGUCGGUGGUUCCGGCGGCGCCUCCUCUUCGUGUAUAACUAUCUUCUCUUUCCAUACCUGACUCGGUGCUACGGUCUCCUCAGGACAGUUCUGUUCAAGUUGUAUGUCUUCAGUCCUUAUCACUUCUCCUUCGUAGUCUACCCAUCCGUCCUUGAUGAUUUGCCUCCUCUGGUUGCGGUUGCGUUGUCUUCUUCUUGUCCUGACCUGCUUAGAAUCUUCAACUAUAUAGUUAGAAUCAUUAAAGUAGUGGCGUACCUUCUCAGAGGAGAAGUGCAUGUGGACUUCUCUGGUUCCAGUAUAGAUAAUGACUUUGAUAGUGCUGAGGAACGGUCUUCCAAGGAUGGUGGAUGGAUCAUACUUGUCUUCUCCCAUGUCAAUGACCUGAAAAUUUUCUGGGGCUGAAUGUAUGCUGGUUGUAGGAGCAUGGUUCCAUGCAGGAGCUGAUAAGUGACUGCGGCCAUUAUGUUGACAUCAGAUCCGGUGUCGUAGAGUGUCUUCUAAAAAGAGUAUCCAUUGAUUGUGCACUCAAUGUUUGGAACACCAGGGUCGUCCUUCUUGAUCAAGAAAGGUGACUUGAGUCGACGAUCUUGACCUCUUUGAACUGCAGUGACCAUCUUAGCUGACUCAGUCCACAUUUGCUUGUUCCUGUUCCUCCUGUUGGUCCUCUUCCUUGGUUUACGUCUGGAUUGAUCUUGAAUUUGUGUAGUCUUGUUCUUGAAGAAAUGUCUCCUUCUUCCCUUUGACGUAGAAACUGAUCUUGGCAGUACUAGCGUAGAUGAUAGCUCUUGUGUUUAGGAAUGACCUCCCUAAGAUGAUGGGUGCCCUCUCCUCAGUACCAAUCUCUAUUACCACGAAGUUUGCUGGAGCGUACAAGGUACCAACUCGGAUACAGAGGUUCUUCAAUAUUUCCUUUGGGAAACUAAGUGUCUGAUCUCCAUUGUGUUUGUGCUCGUAGAUCCCGGUUCUUCACUUGAUGGAAUCUGGGAGUUGUAAAACUCCUCCAUGUUUUGCUUGAAGUGUACCUAUUCAUAAAGACAAGGCAGAGAUCAAGUGCAUGGGCCCUGUUGGUGGAAAACACCAACAGAACCAAAAGUGUAUUUGUUCUUCUCCAACCUUAAGCAUAGUGAGCAAGACAAAGUUGUUGGAUCGUAGCAUUUAAAACAUGUGUUAGAUCAGAUGGCUCAACCUAAUGGAAAGAUAAUCUAUCUAUAUUUAUGUUUUGUUUAUAUCUUCCAAAGAUUGAAUGUGCAACAUAUUAGCUUAUAUGAUUGAGGACUAAGAACAAAGAUUAAAGGACUAAACAUGCUGAAUCAGUUAGGUUAAUUUAGAGUUAUAAAUCAUACAUGUUUGUCUCUUUAUUUAUGUGAAUGCCAGAACCAAGGCGAAGCUUAUAAAAGCGAUAGUCAAGUACUUUAAGAUGUUAUUGAAGAGUGAUGGUAUAGUAUCACCUUGUGGAAGCUUUCCUUUCUUAGUGGUUGUGCAUCGUGUUUGUGGCACCCUCCAUGAAUCAUCUCUUAUGAGCUACGUCUUUCUUGUGCAGAUUGUUAAACUUCAUGUGUCACUUUCUUCAUCUCAAAUGCGACUUUAUCUCAGGACUUCCCUGGUUGAUAUUGAAAGUUCUCCUGCAGGGGUUAGUCCCACAAAAUAUACCAAUAUCUACUCAAGCAGUUUUUAGUUCAGUAACCAAACUAGACUCCAUGUCUAAUCACAUUAAGGAAGGCUGUUUAACCUAAGCACCAUGCUUAAUUUAAAAGCCAAUGGAAGUAUGUCGAGUACUUCCAAACCUACACUUACUAGGAUAAACAAAGGUAGCAUGAUGGCAUUUAUAGAGAUCUACUCAAGUGGAGAUGAAGUAGUGUGAUUAGUAUUUAACAAAUUGAGCAUGUCUCAAAGGUAAGGACAACCAACAUAGCAACAUGGCAAAGGAUGUUUUUAUGUAAAGUACUCCCCCAAGCUUGAAUUUUACAAAAUUCAAGUUUGGAUGAAUUUAAUUCAAUGUUGUGUGAUGGUUGGUUGGACAUACCUUGUACUUGUCAUUCAUCCGAUCUUCUUGCUCCAAUCCUGGAAAGGUUAGUGACAAGAAUACCCGAAGGAAUAUUUCUACAAUUAUCUUUAUAUGCUCAAUACACAAGGCAAUGUUGCAAAUAAUUAGAAGUGCUUGUUUUAGGACACUAAGCUUGUCCUUGGGAAACCAUCAAUUAACUCAACGAGAUCUGCAAUAUUUAUUAUAGACAUAUGCAUCGACAACCGCUCUUUUAAAGUUUUUAUAAAUAAAAAAGAAGAGAGGGUUGGAGAUCUCAAAUGUGAUAAGGAUGGAGAGACUAAUUGAUUGGAGAGAUGUUUUAUAUGAGCAAGGACUGGGUAAGGUAUUUAAGAAAUAACUUCCAUACCCACUGUUGUUACUCUCAUUAUCAAACUCCAAGGAUGAUUCUUCGUGAAUGCUUAAAAUUCCUCUAGGAUUGUCUCUCAAGUUUGUUUUAUCUAUCCAUUCAAUGGUGAUAGCACAUGGAUUUUUAAUGCCCUCUAGCCAUCGAUGUUGCUCUUCUCGAUCCUCCUUCUUAUGCAUGGGAUGUCUAGAGAGAUUCAUAGGAUUAUCGGGAGGUUCAAGAGAAAGAGCAUAGUAGAAUUUAUUAAACUCUAGGAUGGGUUGGAUAGCCGAAUUAUGGGAUUGAAAUGUUUGAAAAUCGGUUAUUGAAACUUCCUCUCCUCGUCUGGGAGAUGAUUCCUUCUCUAUUUCUAAGAUUUUUCUAUGAAGACUAGUACAAGAAGGAUGUCCACAAAUGAAGACAUACCUUCCUUUACUAAUAGAUAAAGAACGAAGGACUCUACCAAAGGUUAUAUGAUUAAGACCAAUAUGAAAAUAUCGAGAAAAAACAUGGUCUUGUAGGGCUAGGUCUAAACCAGAGUUUAUAGUAAGAUUAACAUAUUCCCUAGGUGUAGCUAAAAGUGCAUUAUCUUUUUGAUUAAAAGAUAGGACCUCGGCUAUAGAAAAGGGUUGGUUUUGACCUAUUGCAAUCAACUCCGGACACAGAUCAUAAUUAGGGGCAGGACGUGUUGACUCCCAUGGUCUAUGGCUGGUCUCCGAAGGUGCAAAGAAUUCAAUAAUAGGUAUGGAAUUUAAGUUAUCCAUAAAAAUAAAAAGAUAAAAAAGUAUAAAAGUAUAAUACAAGAUAAUAGCAAGACUCAAAGUUAUCUCAGCAAACCGUCUUUCUCCCCGGCAACGGCGCCAGAAAUGCUUGUUGAUAUUUGGUAACGCAAUUAGAAAAUGAUCCGCAAGCGCACGGAUAUCGGUGAGCAUUUCACCCGGGAGGAUUUCCAGAGUAUCGUAUUUAUAUUUUUACCACUGGGAGAAAGGGUGCAUCUGACUAACCAAAUCUAUUGCUACUAUCCCUUUAGGCUACAAAGAAUGUCUCUCGAUGUGAGUGAUGUAUAGAGAUGACUGCAACCGUAGUCUCGUUCUAACCUUGGUAAGGAUGAUCUACUGUUUUAUUGGAGAGGCUCACGGAAUCUAGACAACUCAAAGGAUGUUCGACCCGCACCUAUAAACCUACCCGUCCUGCUAACGAGAUGUGAUCUGCAAAGGUAACUCGGAAUUGCCAUGUUCCUCGCUACUACCACGGUCCAGCUAGUCAGGGGAUAUCUAUGAGUACCCUAGCCUAAACACCACGUUUACGCUAACAAGUGAUUACUCUAAUACUCAACCGUAAGAGGAUUAAAGUAAACUCAUAAACCAAAGAACAAUAAAACAAGAACUUACUAGUAAUUAGAAGUCGAAUUACUGAAGAAUCUUAGAAGCAAGCCUCGGGUUAGGAGACUUGAUCCCGUAGGUAUAAAUCGGAGUAGACACCGAUAGGCCGGCCUUCCUCCGAUCCACACCUCCACUCUAUCUCUCUCAAUCUAGUAGAAACUAGAAGAUCUAUUUCUACUUUACAUUGGUUGCUAAGCCUAAAAAGAAAUAUUAUUUAGAGAAGAGGUUUUCCUUCGAGGGCACCCCUCAAUCUCUAUGAUAAUUCCUUGUCUUCUCCAGGGGCCAGAGGGGGUCUCCUUAUAUAGUCCUCCCCUUCUAUGCGUUUUUGGGUCGAUAGGCGAGGUGGUACUAUGUUAUUCUGGAUCCAAUAGGUCGGUGGAAUGUCGUGUACGAAGAGAGUCCGGAACAGAGUCCAGAGGGGGGCGGGCGCCCAGGUCCUCAGGGCGGGCGCCCUGGGCCUAGCCCCUUUCGGGCUCCGCUUCCUUCCCGUGGCUUCUGGAGUCUUCUAGAUGAUAGGAAAUUGCGCGGUGGGUUGAUAUCUCUAUGUAAUCCCGACAUGUGGGCCUUUCUUCCUUAUUUCCUGAUAACCCCCUGCAGAAAUAGACAAACACCAAAACUCGUAGAAUUCUGUCAGAUAAAACCCUAAGUCUAGAUGUUGAUUUCAUUUGGAUCCUUUUCUUUAUUUAUUUGAUAAUUAAAUUUGAUACUUAAGGACCGUCAACAAGUACUAGGCUUGGAGUCAACCAGUCAAUGCUGUCCCUGUGUGGAGCUUCCGUCGAGAGCGUUGUUUACUUUAUGUUAUCAUCUUUGUAAGAGACUAUGUGAUAUUUUAUAUUCCGCUAUGUAAUAAACACUACAAUGGUACAUUUGAGAUUUGUCUACUUAUGUGUGCGACUGUUUUUUGGGGCACAUAUGAGUCUUUUAUGCAUCCUAUUUUGUUCUUAAAAUAUGGGUGUGACAAGAAAUCAAGGAUUAGAUAAGAAGAAAGAAUAGCAGAGAUAAGGCAAAAGAUAAAAGGAAAAGUAUAUAUAUAUUUUUUUAUUUUUUAGAAAAUGAUUGAGCUAGUUCGUAGUCAACUCAGCAACCGUCUCCCCAGCAACGGCGCCAAAAAUGCUUGUUGACACUUGCUAACACCACUUGAAUACUAGGUUGUUAUCCCCAACAUGACACUAGAGUGUACUAUGGUAUUUAUACGCACACAGAUAAAUCCGCAAGUGCACGGAUACCGUUGUAGCUUUUACCCAGUUAAAGGUUUCAUCGUAUCCACAGGGAAACAGGAGAACCAACUACGCUCUAACUUAACCAAGAUAGAUAGAUGAGUGUAAAUAGGAAAGAUGGUAGAAUUGAAUAAGAACAAUAUUAAAGGUAAGAUAACAAUGGGUGAUAAUAUGGGAAUAGAGAGUAGAGCAAUCUAAUAUAUGGGCGAUGGUAGCAGAAUAGAGAGGAUAACUAUGGUUUCUCUACUUUAAAGGGGUAUGUCUAUGUCUAGGACGAACCACGUGAUAAGAAUACACCACAAAGGAUGCUUCUCCAUAGGCCGAUAAACCCUACCCGUCGUACUAACAAGAGGUGGACUACAGGGGACCAACGUAACUAUCACCUACGCGGCCUACCACACGAUCCAGCUAGACAGUGGAUAUUCACAAGUACUCUAGGUCUAAGCACCACGCUUACACCUAUACUACAACUCUAACCUAUAGGGUCCUAUAGAUUAGAAGUACUCAAAAGAGUUGUGAACCAGAACAUACAUGAUUAGUAAUUGCAUAAUGAAUUAGAAGUAGAUUACUAGAGUCAUCCCAUGAGCAAGCUUGAUUAGAGCUUGAUCAUGGUGAAGUACAACCGGAGGAAGAAUCGACAGGCCGGCCUCUCCUCCAAUCCUCCCUCGCUCUCCAUCUCGCUACUAUCUAGAUCUACUCUAGUUUAGAGAAGAGAGGAGAGCUCUCAUCUCUAAACCCUAGCUUUUGCUCUGUCUAUGAAUAAUGAAUAUGGAUCAAGGGGUUGCCUCCUCUUGGGGCCAGGGGGUCUGCUUAUAUAGGCCCCUCAAGUGAAUCUGGGCCGUCGGAUCAAACCGACAUUGAUUGAAUGGUUAUUCUUGAUCCUUUAGGUCGGUGGAGCGUAAUCCCCGAAGAGAGUCCUGAUUGGACUCUGGGACAGGGCGGGCGCCCAUGGGGGGAGGGCGGGCGCCCUGCCCCCGAGCCCGCUUGGCCUCCCGUUUGUUCCCGUGGCUUCUGGAGUCUUCUAGAUGAUAGAAAAUUGCGUGGCACGUUCAUAUCUCUAUGUAAACCCGACAUGUGGGCCUUUCCUCCAUAUUUCCUGAUAACCCCCUGCAGAAAUAGACAAACACCAAAACUCAUGGAAUUCUGUCAGAUAAAACCCUAAGUUUAGGUGUUGGCUGUAUUUGGAUCCUUUUCUUUGUUUAUUUGCAUUGAGAGUUGCAUCUAGUGGCACUUGAUCCUUGAGUUUGUUGUGGAUUUCUUGUUACUCUUGGGUGUUUCUCGACACCCUACAUGGCUUGGAGCAGUGGAGGUGUUGAGCUUGUGACUGGAGAUUGUUUCGAGCCUCACGAAGUGAUUUGUGAGGGGUUCUUGAGCCUUUUUUGCUGGAGAUCACAAUUGGAAACUUGUUAACUUACAAAAUUUGUUAGCAUUUAUUUCUCAACCAGAUAUCAAUAUAUACUAGAAUAGGGUUAUCACUGACAAUUUCCAUGAGUUUUUCAUAUUUUGUGUUUUCUAGGGAUAAUUUCAAAAAGAGCUGAAAAGAGGGAUUUAAGUGCUAAUUGGCCACGAAACGUAUCCGUGAUGGAAGGAUGACACCAGAGGAAUCAGGAACACCCUAGAAGACACCCGACGCAACGGGGGAGCCAGUAGCCGCGAGGUGGGGUCGGCCGGCCACACCCUAGCGCCGGCCGGCCCCCUAUGGUUAGGGUUUGCUCCCCCCUUCCCGAAGCUUCCUCCACCGCCUUUGAGGAGCCAUCUCGUCUGAUUGUUAAAUCGGUUUGAUCCAACGGCAUGUGUCCAUCUCAAUAGGCUAUAAAUAGAAGGCUAGACCCCCCUGGAGGAGGCCACUGUUGACGGUCCUUAAGUAUCAAAUUUAAUUAUCAAAUAAACAAAGAAAAGGAUCCAAAUGAAAUCAACAUCUAGACUUAGGGUUUUAUCUGACAGAAUUCCACGAGUUUUGGUGUUUGUCUAUUUCUGCAGGGGGUUAUCAGGAAAUAAGGAAGAAAGGUCCACAUGUUAGGAUUACAUAGAGAUAUCAACGCACCGCGCAAUUUUCUACCAUCUAGAAGACUCCAGAAGCCACGAGACCGAAGCGGAGGCGAAACGGGGCCAGGCCCAGGGCGCCCGCCCUGGUGACCUGGGCGCCCGCCCCCUGUUGGAACCAGAUCAGGACUCUCUUCGCUCGGGAUGUUCCACCGACCUAUUGGGUCAAGGAAAACAUAGUACCACCUCGCCUAUCGACCCAAAAACGCAUAGAAGGGGAGGACUAUAUAAGGAGACCCCCAUGGCCCCUGGAGAAGACAUGAAGAAAUUAUCAUAGAGAUUGAGGGGUGCCCUCGAAGGAAAACCUCUUCUCUAAUUAAUAUUUCUUUUUAGAUUGAGAGAGAUAGAGUGGAGGUGAAGACUGGAGGAAGCCCGGCCUGUCGGUGUCUACUCCAAGCUUGUACCUGCGGGAUCAAGUUCUCCUAACCCGAAGCUUGCUCCUAGGAUUCUUCAGUAUUUCGACUUCUAAAUUCUAGUAAGUUCUUGUUUUAUUGUUCUUAUGGUUUAUGAGUUUACUUUAAUCUCUUCGCGUAGAGUUUAGAGUAAUCAUUGCUGGCGUAAACGUGGUGUUUAUGCUGGGGUACUCAUAGAUAUUCCCUGACUAGCUGGACCGUGGUAGUAGUGAGGAACGUGACAAUUCCGAGUUACCUUUGCAGAUCACAUCUCGUUAGCAGGAAGGAUAGGGUUUAUAGGUACGGGUUGAACAUCCUUUGUGGUGUCUAGAUUCCGUUAGCCUCCCCAUUAGAACAGUAGAUCAUCCUUACCAAGGUUAGAAGGAGACUACGGUUGCAGUCUUCUCUAUUUAUCACUCACAUCGAGAGACAUUCUUUGUAGCCUAAAGGGAUAGUAGCAAUAGAUUUGGUUAGUCAGAUGCACCCUUUCUCCCAGUGGUAAAAAUAUAAAUACGAUAACUUUGGAUAAUCUCCCGGGUGAAAUGCUCACCGAUAUCCGUGCGCUUGCGGAUCAUUUCCUUAUUGCGUUACCAAAUAUCAACAGCCACAUUAAGAGAUGAAGAGUCAGAGCAUUAGAUACACAUCCACUAGAUCUAGGCUAGCAAUCAAGAUAGAGAUUAGAGAGAUAGAGUAGAGAAGUAGCGAUUCAGAGGAGUCCCGGCCUGUCGGAGCUUCCUUAGGAGCUGUAUUCGUUUAGAUUUGGCUCCCUCGCCCGGAGCUACGUUCUGAGGUACUUCUGUAUUUACCCUUUCUGAUUCAAGUAUGCAACUUGUUUGUAUUCGUUCUUUGGUUUGCAACUCAUAUUAUAUUGAGUACUACAAUUUGGGUAGCUCCUAGGUCGGAGUAGUGAUUCGUAGCGUAGACGUGGUGUCUAGGCUAUGGUUGCUUGUGAAUGUCUCCUGAUCAGCCGGAGAGUGGUAGUUCGCGUAGGUAACUUUAUAGCUGCGUUGAUUCCUCUGUGUUGGGUAUUUUAAACGCAAACAGAAAAAAUCCGCAAGCGAACAGAUACCGAUGUAGCCUUCACCCAGGAGUAUUUCAGAGUAUCGAUUUUCCACAGGGAACGUGAGUGUACUAAUCAAGAAUCAAGAUCGCCCAAGGAUAACUAUAUAAUUAUUUUUGGUGGGAAGAGAGGAAGUUUCCUGAGAGUUGUCUAGUUGAUCUAAGAAUCAAAAAUUACUUCAAGAUUAUCUAUAUCGGGACAUCAGAGCACUAACCAGAGAAAGAGAUGAGAAGGGGGCUAGGAAGGUCUGACUACGGUCCUACAAACACCGAUCCGAGGUGGAAUACGUCGACCGUUAGGGCUGUCACUACCCUAAGGCUACCACAACAAUCCGCAGGAUUGGGUGCAAUUCUAGGUAAUUGCAAGACUAAACACCACGUCUAAUCUAUUAAUUACUACUCUAGCGUUAUAAAGACUAGAGCACUUGAUGCAAGUGGGAAUCCAAUAAAUAACUUGAAUGUAAAUAAAAGUAAUUAAAGAACUCAGGAAUUAUGAAUUGAAGAACCUGGAGAACGAUGAAGAACGAACCAGUUGCUGCAAAAGUAUAAUGUUGAGGAAGAUCCGACAGAUCCGGCUCCUCCUCCGCUCUCCUCUUCGCUCUCCCUAUUUUCUAGAUUACAACUAGAACUAACUAGAACUAGAACUAGUGGAACUAGAACUAGAACUAGAUGAACUAGAAUUAGAUCUAGAUGAACUAGAGGUAGAACUAAAAGAACUAGAGGGAUCCUCUCUACUUGGAUGAAGAAUUGAAACCCUAACUUUGAUUCUGUAGAAGAGGUAUGAUCUCCAGGGGCUAGGGAGGUCUGGUUUUAUAGUCCCUUCCAGUGAAUCUGGGCCGUCGGAUCAAACCGACAUUGAUCGCAUGAUUUUCCUUGAUCCUUUAGGUCGGUGGAGCAUAAUCCGCGAAACGUGUCCUGAUUGGGCACUGUAGCUGGGCGGGCGCCGAGGGGAGUUGGGCGGGCGCCCAGCCUCCGAGCCCGAUUUCCUUCCCGUUCGUUCCCGUGGCUUCUGGAGUCUUCUAGAUGAUAGAAAAUUGCGUGACAUGUUAAUAUCUCUAUGUAAACCCGACGUGUGGGCCUUUCUUCCGUAUUUCCUGAUAACCCCCUGCAGAAAUAGACAAACACCAAAACUCAUGGAAUUCUGUCAGAUAAAACCCUAAGUCUAGGUGUUGGUUCCAUUUGGAUCCUUUUCUAUGAUUAGUUGAUGGUUAAUUGUGAGCAUUAAGGACCGUCAACAAGCUCCCCCAAGCUUAACCUUUGAUCGUCCCUGAGCAAAGAUGAACUCAAGAGUUUCUGCAGUGGUUUCAUAACUUAAAGAUACACAUGCGUUUAAACAGGAUCUCAUCUCUGGUUAGAGUAAACUGUUAAGACUUAAAACUUACUCAUUUACCUUUCACCAUGGGACUUGUAACCGUCACUUCUGUCUUGAGUAGUUAAAAGAUAGAACAGUCUAGUCAAGCACCAUGUCUCUUGUUCUUCGAUUAACUAUAGCUCUGGAGUUUUUACAGAUUUUCAAAUAAAACUCAGAGAUUCCUUGUAUGACUCUCUAGUCUCUCUUUUGUGGUAUUUCUGGAUCCUUACCAAGGCAGUAAUGGUGUAUGCCUUCUCUCAAAGUAUGUGGUAUUUUUGGUAUGAGGCAUAGUGGUAUUGCCUUCUCUCUCACCCUACUCUAAUAAGGUUUUGAUAUCUGGAGCUCAUAGGUAGGAGACAACUAAUACAUACUUACAAAACAUUUAUUGCAUAGUCAAACCAUGGAUCCAGAAGAACAAGUCAAUAAGUCAAAUCAAGAUGUGCAUGUGUGGUGAAUGAAUGGUGUAUGGUGAUGAUGGUGAUAACAAUGGUGAAAGUCUAAUUAUACUUAUGCUCUUUUGAGGGGAUACAUACCUUUCUUGCUCUUUUGAAACUUUUUGAGGAGAAUGAGAUGCUCUAUGUUUUAUUUUUCUUGCACGUGGGUAUCUUGUACCCCUAAUUCUACUGUCGGACACUUGUCCAUUUUUACCUCUCGUCUCACUUUUUCUUUCUUUCGAGGUUCCGGGCACUUGCCCCUUUUUAUUUCCUCAUAUACUUUUUUUUCUUUUCUUUUUUUUCUUUUUUUAGAGCACUCAUCUCAUGAGAUAAUAUAGCAAGUGGUAGUAACAAGAUAACUUGAGCAUUUAUUUCACAAGGGAAAACAGAAAUGUUUUUGGCUAUUCUCUCCCUAAUUAGGAGUAGAAUAUUUUUAGGUGAUUCUGGAGAUGGAAAUGGCUGGAUAUAUGUGGAUGCGUACUUCCAGAGUAGAAGCAGCAUGUGUGAGUGAACGUGCAAGUGAAUCUUGACUUAACCACAUGACAAGCUCCUAAGGGUCUACACAGCUUGACCACACUCAAUGCUCAUAAGCAGUAAAAAGUAAAUGUAUGGUUCAUAGUCUAACAAGCAUGUAUAUAUGGCUGUGGUAGGAAUUUAAACUCUCAUCAUACAGGAACUCAUCAUGCAUUUUAAAGAUUUUCAAAGAUAAAAUUCUCCAGAAUUCUAGCAUCUCUAGGAACAGAUAAAUGUUGGGUAUUCUUAACAUCAUUACUAAAAGUAGACUAAGUUCUAAAUCUAGCAACGGUGCCAAAAAUGCCAAACCUAUCCCUCACACCACUUAAGCCAAGUUGUCAUCCCCAGCAUGAUAUGAGAGACGCGGUAUUGAAAUAUGCAAUUGCUCUUCUAAAUAAAUAAUGAAUGGGAUCUGCAAGCGCACAGAUUAAUACCGAUGUAGCAUUUUAACCGGGAAGUAUUCCAGGUAUCGUUAUUUAUAUUUUUACCACUGGGAAGGGAUUAGCAAUCAUCACUAUUGAUUACAGAAUAGAAUAUGAGAUUGAGCAUCUAUCAUUGCAUGUAUAAUUGAGAACAUUAUAUCUAACUCAUCAUACAGGGAUAAAUGUCACAUAAAAGAUAUAUGAAAUAAUAAUAGUGACAAGGAUAACUAAUCUGAUCUAGCCACAUAAUAAAUAUGAUAAGCACCUCAAUUAGAUACUCUAGAAAGUCAUUAGCAUGGUAUUAGAACGAACUACAAGAAUAUUCCCUAAGUUAUUCUCAACUAUAUAGUCUAGCAUUAUCAUAGUUAGAGCAAGCAUACUUAGCAAUCAUUGUGAGACAAGACUACGCCCAUGCAUAGUGAUAUUAGCAAGGAAUAUGAGAAACAUAGCAAUCACUCCCCUGUAAUAAUGUUGCUCUGCCAGCCCAAUACACGAGAGGGGGACUAUAUAAGAAUCAAUGAAGCUGUCACUAUCACGAACCACCCCACGAUCUGGCAUAUUGGGUACAAUCGCAGAUAAAUACGGUAUAAGCACCACGCCUACACAAUAUCUAUCAGUUACCCAUGGAUCCGAUGGAUAAACGCUAUACGAUCCUAAGCAUGUAUAUAGAUCGUAUCUAACUAAGCCAAGUACAUAACUAUGAUAAACUAAGAACAAUAUAAUCUUGAAUAUAAGCAAGUAGAGCAAAGUCAUAAGCAAUAUAUUGAAGUAGAACAAAGUCAUAUUCAUAAUAUUGAAGAACAAAGAUAAUUAGAAAGCAAUUAGAAGCACAAUUAGAAGAUUACCAAGAAUCCUCCUGACAGAUCCGGAAACCAAUCGAAGAUUGACUCCUUCUAGUUCUAAUCCUAUGUAGCUAUGCUAAUCUAGAUGUCUAAUUGAUGUGGUGGCUCUAAUCUUGAUCAGAGGCUUCUUCUCCCUUGAUGGAACAAUGAAUUAGGGUUGAGAGGCUCUCUCCUCCAGGGGCCAGGGGGUCUGGUUUUAUAGUCCCUCCAAGUGAAUAUGGGCCCUUGGAUCAAACCGACAUAGAUUGUAUGGUUUAGAUUCAUCCUUUAGGUCGGUGGAGAUCUCCCGCAAAGCAGAGUCCUGAUUGGACUCAGGAGGUGGGCGGGCGCCCUGACCAACUGGGCGGCCGCCCAGGGUCUGGCCCCGUUUCGCCUCCGCUUCGGUCCCGUGGCUUCUGGAGUCUUCUAGAUGUAAGAUAAUUGCGCAGCACAUUAAUACCUUUACGUAAUCCUGACAUGUGGGUCUUUCUUCCGUAUUUCCUGAUAACCCCCUACAGAAAUAGACAAACACCAAAACUCGUGGAAUUCUGUCAGAUAAAACCCUAAGUCUAGAUCUUGAUUUCAUUUGGAUCCUUUUCUUUAUUUAUUUAAUAAUUAAAUUUGAUACUUAAGGACCGUCAACAAACUCCCCCAAGCUUACCUCUUGCUUGUCCCUGAGCAAGGAUAGACUCAGCUAUGGAUCAGAAGUAGUUGCAAUAUCUUUAAAAAUUUGACGGUACACAUGCUUUUAAAUAAGAUCUCAUCUCUAAGUUAGAGUAAACUGUCAAGACUUAAAACUUACUUACUUUACCUUCACCAUGGGACUUGUAACUGUCACUUCUGUCUUGAGUGGUUAAAAGAUAGAACAGUGUAGCCAAGUGCCAUGUCUCUUAUUCUUGAUCAGCUAUAGCUCUGGGAUUUUUGCAGAUUUUCAAAUAAAACUCAGAGAUUCCUUGUAUGAUUCUCUCAGGUCUCUCUUUUGUGGUAUUUUUGGAUCCUUACCAAGGCAUUGAUGGUAUAUACCUUCUCUCAAGAUAUGUGGUAUUUGUGGUAUGAGGCAUAGUGAUAUUGCCUUCUCUCUCACCCUACUCUACUAAGGCUUUAAUAUCUUGAGCUCAUAGGUGGGAGAUAAAGUAUACAUACUUACAAGACAUUUAUUGCAUAGUCAAACCACGGAUCAAAAAUAACAAGUCAAUAAGUUUAAUCAAGAUGUGCAUGUGUGGCGAAUGAAUGGUAUAUGGUGAUGAUGGUGAUAACAAUGGUGAAAACAAUGGUGGUGGAAGUCUAAUUCUACUUUUGCUCUUUUGAGGGGAUACAUACCUUCCUUGCUUUUGAAACUUUAUGAUGAGAAUGAGAUGCUCUUCUUUUUCUUGUCUCUCAGGUGGGUAUCUUGCACCCCUAAUUCUACUGUCGGACACUUGUCCAUUUUUACCUCUCGUCUCACUUUUUUUUCUUUUUGAGGUUCUGAGCACUUGCUCCUUUUUAUUUCCUCGUAUUAUUCCUUUUCUCUCUUUUUUUUAGAGCACUCAUCUCUUGAGAUAAUAUAGCAAGUGGUAGUAACAAGAUAACUUGAGCAUUUAUUUCACAAGGGGAAAACAGAAAUAUUUUUGGUUAUUCUCUCCCGGAUUAGGAGUAGAAUAUUUUUAGGUGGUUCUGGAGAUGGAAUGGGUGGAUAUAUGUGGAUGGUACUUCCGGAGUAGAAGUAGCAUAUAUGAGUGAACGUGCAAGUGAAAUCUUGAUUUAACCACAUGACAAGCUCCUAAGGGUCUACACAGCUUGACCACACUCAAUGCUCAUAAGCAGUAAAUAGUAAAUGUGUGGCUCAAAGUCUAGCAAGCAUGUAUAUAUGGCUGUGGUAGGAAUUUAAACUCUCAUCAUACAGGAACUCAUCAUGCAACAUUUUAAAGAUUUUCAAGAUAAAAUUCUCCAGAAUUCUAGCAUCUCUAGGAACAGAUAAACAGCAGCUCAGCCUUCCCAUAUCUUAUCCGUUAACAACUUAGACUUUUUCAUCCCACAAGUUUAGGUCUAGAGCAAGCUUUAAAUUAUAACUGUUAUAUCUAAACUUGAGAGAGAACUUAAAAUUUGCAAAUUAGGCAGAGCAACUAUUUAUCAUAUCCAAGCUUAAGUUUUAUUUAGAUACAAAUUAGCAUAGACACUUUAUUUAUUUAUUAAACACACUAAGCAAAAGAUAUAUAUAAGCAUAAAAUCUUUAUUUGGUUUUUCCAUAGUUUAUGUGUAUUUUAAUAUUCUAAAAUAAUGUAAGUAUAAAGAUAGAUAGAAAUACUUAUCGAGAUAAAUGGGGGUGCUCUCCCCCAAGCUGAAUUUUGACGUAAUUUCUCUUGAUGUAGCUAACAGGUGGUAGAGGUGUAUUUGAAAGUCAGCAGCAUUCUGACAGCGAUUAGAAUGUCCUCCGUCUGCUAGUCUUCUUGAUUCUUAAAUUCUGUGGAGCUCAAAUAGACAACAAAGCUUGUGGAACUGAUUAAGUGUUAGCAUAAAUAUUUAGCCUUUAUUAUCUUGAGACUCCUUAAUAAAUAUUACUCCCUGUUUUUAUAUUUUUUGUUUUUAUAAAGCAGAAAAAUAUUUAUUUUAUUUUUAUGCCACCACAGUGAAUGUACGUAUGGGUUUUAUGCCACUCGUAUACUCACAUGAGGCUUACUGUUUUUCAUAUUUUUAUUUUUUUUUAAGACAGUAUAAACAUGAUUAACUAAGUAAACUAUUUGAAAUAAUUGGAAGGGAAAGGGUAACUACCAAGUUUACCUCUUGGCAAGGCGUUCGGUGUUUUUAAGUCCUCCAAACGGGACUCUCCAAUUUCUUAAUCGUCCUGAGGUUCGUUGGGUGGCGUAGUCGGUACUUCCGGCAGUGCCUCCUCUUCUUGUAUAGUUAUCUUCAUUUUCCAUACCUGACUCGGUGCUUCAAUCUCCUCUAGAUAAUUCUGUUUAAACUCAACGUCUUCUGAUCUUACAACUUCUCCUUCAUAGUCUGCCCAUCCAUCCUUGAUGAUCUGCCUCCUCUGGUUGCGGUUGCGUCUCUUUCUGACCUGCUUAGAUUCUUCAACGAUAUAGUUAGGGUCAGUAAAAUAACGGCGUACCUUCUCAGGGGGGAAGUGCAUAUGGACUUCUCCGGUUCCAAUGUAGAUAAUUGCUUUAACGGUGCUGAGGAACGGCCUUCCAAGGAUGAUGGGUGGAUCACACUCGUCUUCUCCCAUGUCAACAACUUGAAAGUCUGUGUAGACAAAAUGAUCGUCUAUUUUGACUGGGACAUCAGAUACUGUUCCUUGAACUUCUCGAAAUGUCUGAUCUGCCAUCUGGAGCUGAAUGUAUGUUGGUCUUAGUGGCAUGGUCCCGAACAAGAGCCGAUAGGUGACUGCGGCCAUUAUGUUGACGCCUGAUCCGGUGUCGCAAAUCGUCUUGUAGAAGUUGUAUCCAUUUAUGGAGCAGUAAAUGCUUGGCAUUCCUGGGUCGUCCUUCUUGGUCAAAAACGGUGACCUCAGUUGGUGAUCUUGGCCUCCAUGGACUACAGUGACCAUCUUAGCUGACUCGGUCCACACUUGUUCCUGUUCCUCCUGUUGGUCCUCUUCCUUGAUCCACGUCUGGAUUGAUUUGGAAUUUGUGUAGUCUUAUUCUUGAAGAAAAAUGUCUCCUUCCUCCCUUUGAUGUAGAAACUGAUCUUGGCAGCACUAGCGUAGAUGAUAGCUCCCGUGGUGUUUAAGAAUGGCCUCCCUAGAAUGAUAGGUGCUCUCUCAUCAUUUCCGGUCUCUACCACUACGAAGUCUGCUGGUGCAUACAAGGUACCAACUCGGACACAAAGGUUCCUCACUAUUCCUUUUGGAAAAGUUAUCGUCUGAUCUGCAAACUGCAAACACAUGGUUGUCUCUAAUAAAGGAUAUGUAAAGAAUUUUUCAUAGAGUACUCUGGGUAUAAUGUUGACACUGGAGCCAAAGUCACAGAGUGCUCCUGGGACGUCCACCAUGCCGAUGGAGAUCGGGAUGACGGGGCGUCCUGGAUCGCCUCUCUUGACCGGCAGAUGGUCAGUAGAGAAUUCAUUGACGGGGUUACUCCAAUUACCUGCAUCAAACAUGUCUACAAGAUUGGCAGAUUCUAAUCCUUCCGGUUGUGAUGGUAUACCGGGGUUAGUAGUAGGAACAACAGCAGCUAUUUGAUUUAACUGAGAUUCAAUCAUUUUAUUAAAGCUAAUUUGAUUCUUGAUGGCAGUAGAGAAAUUAUCCAUUCUAUUAUUUAUAUUUUCUAGUAUUUUAUCAAUAGAUGCCAAUUUCUUAGAUAGGUUAUCCAUUAGCUUUCCUUGAUUAGACACUAACUCUCUCAAAGGUGGAAAAUUGUUAUUGUUGUUGUAAGAAUUGUUACCUUGAUAAUUACCUGAGUAGUUAGGCCUCUGUUGAUUCCAACCUUGAUUUUGUUGAGGACGGAUGUAGUAGUAGUUGUUGUUGUUGAUGUAGUUCACAUCCUCAAGUAUCUCAGGGCAGUGGUUGCCUGAGUGUCCAGUGUCUCCACACUCCUCACAAGUCAUGUGAGAGUCGUAGAUGUACAUAACUUCUUUCUUGUCUCUAGCUCUAUCAUCGAGCUUCUUCAUGAGCAGGUCUAGCUUUGCAGACAGCAUGUCUACCUCCUUCAGCUGAUGCAUACCUCCACCUCUCUUGCGUGUCUGGGUCCUCUAUUCAUUCCAGCUUUGAUUGGACGCCAUCUUCUCCACAAGAGCUGUGGCUUGUGGUAUAGUAAGUGAUAAGAAUGCUCCUCCAGCUGCAGCAUCCAUAGUCUCUCGG